rnacentral:lncRNA from 1 species
CUGAUAAUAGGGUCUUGGAUAGCAAAGCAGUCUUUUGGUAUGCCAUCUUGAAUGUUGCAGUUGCGGGAUUGGAGGUUCUGUCUCUCUGUUGAAACUAGCACUGGGAUGUAGGUUUCGUUGGCGUUUUAAACAUCUGAUGAUCACAAACUGCUUGCUCUUUAUGGGAAAUAUCUGAUUCGACUGUGCCAAAUUUUGCUACAACUGCAUGUCACUCUGUUUUGAGACAAUAUGUUCGUUCUAGUUAGCUUUUGAAUUUUAUUCCAGAUUACAGCAACUGUGAGAUUUUGAGAUGAAUUUCCUGUUUGUUUGGCCACAUGGAUCAAAAUAAGUGGGCUCCUUCAUCUUGCGAUAGAGCUGGAGUCUGUCAUUGUUGUGUUGCAGCUUUGCCGGCGAGGAUUUGCUGUCGCUGACAAGAGGAACACCUUCACAAGUCCUGGGAUAUGUUUGGAUCUUGACCAAAGUGUAGCUUAUCAAAGUUCUGUGCUAUGACUAAAACAUGGAUUUAUAAAUGGAUAGUUGCCAAGUUUUUUGUCAUAAUAAUACCUUUUUGUGAACCCUAAUUCGUUUUUCUACCAAUGUUCUAACUUAGUGGGUAACAAAAUUUCUACCAAAUUUCUGGCUAGGUCGUGUUUGGUCUGAUUCGUGCAAAUGCGUUGUUUUUCCUUUUCAGUUUCGACGCUGAGUUGUGAUUGUAUUACUUGAAAGAAUAGAACUGUGCUGGUUGCCUGCCUGCUUUUUGUGCUGUGUGACUUUCUAUGUCUUCUGCUGGUUCGGUUCCGCCCAUUUUUCUUGCCCGUUCCCUCUGUCCAUUCGUCUUGCCUCGUGCGCCCCUCUCUCAAGCCUCGACUACCUUAUGCACCCCCACCAGCUGUUGGCUAGGAGCGGCACUGCGAUUCCAGCGACCAUUGAUGCAUCGUCCUAUGGGUAGGUACACUCCCUGUCCGCAUUCUCCCUCUUUGCUCGCGUAUUGUAAAAAUCUAGGUCUCGAUCCUGAAUGCGCAUAAACCCUAGGUCUUCAUGAGGCGUGGUUGCAGUUGAGAGGGAAGAGAGGCAAAAAAUUGUUUCAUCCUUCAUCCAGUUUGUACAACUUGCAAUUUCUGGUCCACUUUUAGUUUCUGUAUGUGGCUAUCUGGCUAUGGAGUGGUUUUAACUCAUACCGCAAUAUCUUGUGUGAAUACAUUAGUGCUGCCCAUGCCUUUCCUCCUCGCAAAUACUUCGUUACUGCUCUUGGCUAAGAAACAUCUGAUUCUUUGAGAUGAUGUGUUUCCAUAUGCCUCCCAUUCAUAUGUCAUAAAGGAUUGCAUUGGUCCAACACAUUAUUUAUUGUCACUGCACUCUCUUGCUCAGGAGCCUCGACUUUGUUCGUGUUUGUUUGGCUACUAGCACUAUCCCUAUAACAUAGUUAGAGGCUACAAAGGGAAUAUAGAGAGCAGUGCAUCCUUUAUAAGCUUCGAUCAUGCUUACACAGAGGAAGGUUGGUGAGCACAUUAGCUACCCAUCCAUUAAUUUUGUGCCCAAGUCCUAGAGUCUACUUCGUUCCCGAGCCUUAAUUUCAGUGGCAAGUGGAGGCUGGAAAUGACAUGCCAUCCAUCUUUGCAUUGAUAGAAUAGCCUAAUCCAUUCUUUCUUCUUUGUAGCCUCUGUUUUCCUUUGUAAAUCUUAUCCCCAUGUCAAUUAACUCCAAGCCGAAUUCAACAUACCAUCUUGCACAAUAGAAAAUCUUAACAUGAUGGUGCUUGCUAGGUGAAACUUGUAGUUAGCAUUUGUCGUUGGCGGGUUUGGAGCCUUCAGUUCUGUCAUCGUGUUUUUAGCGUCUCCAUUGGUGUGACAUAUUUUAAUAGAAGGAAGCAAAAGGUUUUUACAAGAAGCUCAUCCCCAUUACCGUCAAUAGGCUAGAGCGCACGUGCACACACGCACACAAGCACACACUAGUUACUCUUUAAGAUUUGACUCCCCACCUCCAUGGCCAACUUCUAUCGGUGGAAUCAAUCCAAUAAAUGGUAGAGUGAGGUAACCUCAUUGAUCCGUUGAUGCAUAUUACCAACCACUCAAGCGUUCCUCUAUUUCCAAAGAAUCCAUGCAACCGAGAUCACGAGCAUGUGACAACCUUUUAUGUAAAUAUUGGGCAGCAAGCCUCUCGAUCGAACCCACAAAUCUUCAAGAGUUUUGUCAGUGUUUGGUGCAAUGGUAGAAGGGUAGACUUGUAUCAAGAAUGCUUACCUGAUCCUCAUCUUGAAUUGGAGGUUUUAUUCGUGUUUCAUUUCAAACUAUUGGCAUGUAGGUUUUAUAGGCCUUUUAAUGUCUGAUUAUGUGUUCUAGUGGGAAUGUAAAUUUGCAGUUUCAUAACUUUAUGACUUUUGUUUUGAAAUGCAGGUUGCAUUGCUUCUCCAUGUGUUUGAAAAUGUCAUUUUACCUUUUGGAUUUCUUCCCAACUUCAAGUAUUGUUGUAUGCCGAGACAACUUUUCAGUACCCUCCUCCCUUCAAAACCGUAAAUUUUUCAGAAUACUUGAUGAUCAUAUACUAUAUUUUUCAUUAUGGAAAUUUACAUAGAAUGAUGGGAAAAUUGAGGAUUAUCUCCGAGUAGUCUUUGAAAAGUCAAGGAGCCUUGUAAUCUGCAUCUACGGUGACAAGAUUGUGGGGAGCCGACACCCGCACUCUAUAUCUCUCCGCCGAGUUGGCCCCUCCAUUUCUCUACCCUACUAACCUUAGCAACAUAACUCCUCCAAUGGUCUGUUCCACUCGUCUUAGUAUUGCGCUAAUAUUUCCUAGUGGCUCGGAAAUGCAUGUGUGAUGUUGAGCUGUUUCUACACCCAUGUUGAUUGUUGUAAGUAAUGUUUUCUUGCUAUCCGAAGAGUCUCGACCGCGUUCAACUUAGUUUGGGUGCUAGUACUGUCCUGAUAAGAUAGGCAUGGCACUAUAGAGGUAGUGUAUCCUUUAUAAGGGUGGGUCAUGCUUACAUCUGCAAGGUUGGUGAGCGCGUUAGCUAGCUAUCCAUUCAUUAACCCCAUACAAAAAAAUAUUACUUGGUACAACUAAAAAUUUCAAUAUUAAGGUGCCUCAUAUCAAUGGUUCCGCGUCUAAUGAAAACUCAGAGCUAUCUUUUAAAUGAUAUAGCCAAGUGAGAUAAUAAGUUAGUGAUUGUUGGUGGCCAAUGAGGUUUCCGUGUCACUGGCAGGUGUGGCAGCACCAGUGCUGGGGUGAGUCUAGUCUAGCUGUGGUUCCCCGCUACCUGGGGUACCUGCAUCUUUGUUCCAAUUUUUUGUCUUCAAAUGAAAUGCAUGUCAUUCAUGUCCAAGGUAGUAUGUAAUUCUACAUUUGUGGUUUCUUAGAGUGAUGUUUUGGUCCUUUCUUGGAAUGUUGCUAACAUGGGCAUGCCAACUUGCCAAUCAAGUUCAUUUUUUACAUUACCCCUGAACCAGUGCCUUGUGAGGGGAUGCACCCUGAGAUGAGAGAGAGAACUAAUGUUUGAAAUAGUGUUUCUAUGGCAGCGCCAAAAAAUAGAGCGGGGACUAAGACACUCGCUCUCUAUCCAUUGAUCAGGGCUGAGGAGGUAGAGCGGCAAACAUUGAUCCAUUUUGUACACAAUAAACUUCCUUUGUUUUUCCUUUAAUUCUCGGUCCACCUUUAUCUUGGUGGUAGUUUUGAUCUAAUAUGCACUGCUGGGCCUUAGAGCAUNNNNNNNNNNNNNNNNNNNNNNNNNNNNNNNNNNNNNNNNNNNNNNNNNNNNNNNNNNNNNNNNNNNNNNNNNNNNNNNNNNNNNNNNNNNNNNNNNNNNNNNNNNNNNNNNNNNNNNNNNNNNNNNNNNNNNNNNNNNNNNNNNNNNNNNNNNNNNNNNNNNNNNNNNNNNNNNNNNNNNNNNNNNNNNNNNNNNNNNNNNNNNNNNNNNNNNNNNNNNNNNNNNNNNNNNNNNNGUGCCGGUUCGGCCCUUUUUUCCUCCCGGCGGCCGCAGGCCGAACCCGGCGCGCUGGGGGGCGCCUGGGGGCUCCGGCGCAAGGGAAAAAGCACGGCUGGCCCAAGCCGUUAGGUGAAACAUCAAGAUUUUCUUCCUCGACCGCCUCCCACCCCCCGCUCUCUCGGCCGCAAGUAGGUAUAUCCCAGCGCCGCCCCUCGCCGCCCCAUCGCUCUUCACCUGUAGAUAGCCAUUCCCCGCCGGAAAAGAAGCAUAGUUUCGCCGCGACAACCCCUCCGGCACCAGCUGGGCGUUUCCGGCCGCCCUUUCCGGCCACGGAGGGGCAGUUUGGCGGCGGGUGCACGCCCACCGUGCGCAAGGUGUUCGGCGAUUUUCCUGCCUCGGCGGUGGACUCGGAUGACGAGGAAGUGCUCGCCGCGUUGCUGGAGGAGGAAGCCGAGGCCGACGUCCAGGAACAAGAGCAUCUCAUGGUGCUCGCCGCCCUCACCCAGCUGCUGGCGAGCAAUGAAAAGUCACGGCGAGGUGGCUCGUCGCCGGGCCGGGUGAAAGCAAAGAACCGGGAUCGUCUCGAAGGCUACUGCAUGCUCUACUCCAACUACUUCACCGAUGCUCCACUUCACGGUGACAAAACAUUUCGGCGCCGUUAUCGGAUGAACAGAAAGCUUUUUCUCAGGAUUGUGAAUUCCAUCCGGGAGUUCGACAACUACUUGAAAUGCAAGAUGGAUUGCACUGGCAAACUUGGAUUCACCUCCAUCCAGAAAUGCACGACAGCGAUGAGGAUGCUUGCAUACGGAGCUCCUGGUGACUCACAGGACGACUAUGGGCGCAUGGCCGAGUCCACCAGCACAGAGUGUUUCUACAAGUUCUGUCGGGCAGUGGUGGCAGUGUUUGGACCGCAAUACUUGAGAACACCCAAUGUGGAAGACACUGCUCGGAUCCUAGCACAGAAUGCAGCAAGAGGAUUUCCUGGGAUGCUUGGAAGCAUCAACUGCAUGCAUUGGAAAUGGAAGAAUUGCCCAUUUGCUUGGCAGGGGAUGUACAAAGCCGCCAAAGGCGGUUGUAGUGUGGUACUUGAGGCGGUGGCCACACAGGACCUCUGGAUUUGGCACAACUUCUUUGGUAUGCCAGGAACUCACAAUGACAUCAACGUGCUGCAGUGCUCUCCUGUCUUUGCCAAGCUUGUUGAAGAUCAUUCUCUUCCGGUGAACUUCGAGAUCAAUGGGCGGCACUACAACAAGGGGUACUAUCUAGCUGAUGGCAUCUAUCCGAGAUGGUCGACAUUUGUCAAGACCAUCAAAAACCCUGUGCCUGGAGGCAAGAACGCUUGGUUUGCGAAGAUUCAGGAGGCUUGCAGGAAGGAUGUCGAGCGGGCAUUUGAUGUGCUCCAAUCUCGAUUUGCUGUUGUCCGGUACCCCGCUCAGACCUGGUCGAAAGAUCAAAUGUGGGAGAUCAUGACCUGCUGUGUCAUCUUGCACAACAUGAUCAUUGAGAGCGAGCAGGAGGAGCCAGUGUUUGACACUGAACCAUACCACCGGCAGGGUCCUCUUGACCAAGUUGAUCACCAGUUACCGGCAACCUGGACUGCCUAUCUCAGUAUGCGUCAGGAGAUCCGAGACCCACAUGUGCAUCAUCAACUGCAGCAAGAUCUGAUAGAGCACCUAUGGAGGCUCAAGGGCGACACCGGGCGCGACGUAUGAUGAAAUAUGAGUUUUUAUUUGUUGAACUAUAAAAAUUGUAUUGAACUAUUUGUUAUUGUACUAUUUUGUUGAAGUACUUGAAUUUUCUGUGAUGAAAUAUGUGAUAAAAAAUUAUUUAUGUUGAUAAUUGAAUGCCGAGCCACGGCGAACCACGCCGAAUAUGGGCCUAUUCUCGCUCAUAUGGGUCUUUUUCGCCGAAAUGGGGCUUCAAAAGUGGACCAAAAUCGACGACUAGGGGCGAGCUUGGGGCGACGACUGGGCGCAAAACCGCCCCAGCGCCGAAAAAAUCGCCGGCUCGCCCGAUUUUUAUGCGCCUUGGGGGCCGAACGGCUGAAGAUGCUCUUAGGCUUUCACCCCAAGACCUAAGACCGAGGGUGUGCAUGGGAUGUACUCCACAUCAGCGCCUGAGGUUAAACGACGUCCACGGAUGACAACACUGCCGGCUGGUAAAAACCGAGGCUCGCUCGGAGCACCACCCAACACCAAACCCACACGCACCGCACCUGCGCUAGCCCGCAGACCUCCCAUGACGUCGCCGCGAUGACCACACAUGGAAGCCACCACAAACCUCCAUCAUCCACCACCGCACAUAGACCACCAAGUUGGAGGUGGGCUGCCACCCCAACCUCACACAUCGAAAGGACGCCAAGCCGAAGCCAUCUAGCACGUUGACGCUGCAGCCCCGAGCAAAUGGAUGCCAAAGCAGCCAGCCACCGGAAGCGCCGCCAGGAAAGCCAAAGGAGGCCACCACACUACGCAGCUGAGGGGGCCGAACCUCCCCCACCAGAAGACCAGCAGUCACGCCGCCCACACUUCCACGACUGCCGACCAGAGCUCACACGGGACCGCCAUCCCGCUGCCAAAACCGUCUCGCGGAGGCCCGUGGGACCAGGGCCGGCCAUCGUCGGAGAAGCAGCGCCAGGACGCCGCCGCAUCAGAUCCGACACCCAGGCGUCGAGGGGACGCCGCAUUGCCAAGAUCCGCCGCCCUGAAGCAAAGCAACGUCGCCGAGACUCGGCGGCCCCACAUGGAGGCGCGCCACCACGUGCGGGUCCGCGCGAACCGGGAGCCCUCACAAUAGAAAAUCUUAACAUCAUGGUGUUGCUAAGUCAAACUUGUAGUUAGCAUUUGUCGUAUGAUGGAGGGUCUAGAGUCUUCAGUCAUGUCAUCUUGUUUUUAGCAUCACUAUCGGUGUAACAUAUUUUUAUAGAAGGAAGCAAAAGGUUUUUACAAGAAGCUCAUCCCUAUUACCAUUACUCCACAAAUUACUCUCUAAGAUUUGACUCCCCACCUCCUUGGCUAACUUCUAUCGCUGGAAUCAAUCCAAUAUAUGGGAGAGUGAGGUAACCUCAUUGGCCCGCUGAUGCAUAUUACCAACCACUCAAGCGUCCCCCUGUUUCCAAAGAAUCCAUGCAGCCGAGAUCAUGAGCAUGUCACAACCUUUUCUGCUAAUAUUGGGCAACAAACCUCUGGAUUGAAGCCACCAAUGUUCAAGAGUCUCAGCAGUGUUUGGUGAAAUGGUUGAAGGGAAGACUUGUAUCAAGCAUGCACACCUGAUUUCUCAUCUUGAAUUGGAGUUCUUAUUCGUGUUCACUUUUAACUAUCAUGUAGGUUUUCGAGGUCUUUUAACGUCUAACCUUGUAUUCUAGUGUAAAUGUAAAUACGAUCUUUCGUACCUUCACAUUUUUUUUUGAAAAUGCAUGUCACAUUGCUCCUCCACGUGUUCGAAAAUAUAAUUUUACCUUUUGGAUUUCUUCCCAACUACAACUCUUGUAGUAUGCCGAGACAACUUUUUAGUACCCUACCCCUUCAAAACCAUAAAUUUUGCAGAAUACUUGAUCAUCAUAUACUUAUAUUUUACCUAUUUUUUAUUAUGGAACGAUAGGAAAAUUGAGGAUUUGCUCUGACUAGUUUUUGAAGAGUAAACGAGCUUCCUAAUCCGCAUCUAUGAUGACACGGUUGUGGGGAGAGGAUGCCCGCACUCUCUAUCUCUCUCCCCCAGUCAUACACCCCCUUUCUCUACCCAACUAACCAUAGCAACAUAACUCCUCUAACGGUUUGUUCCACUCGUCUCAGUAUUGGGCUACUAUUACUUAGUGGCUAGGGUGUGAAGUUGAGCUGUUUCUAUACCCAUGUACAUUGUCGUAGGUGAUGUUAUCUUACUCUCUCUCGAGCCUCAACUCCAUUCAAUUUUGUUUGGGUGCUAGUACUAUCCUGAUAAGAUAGGCAGCACACUACAUAGGUAGUGCAUCCUUUAUAAGGGUGGAUCAUGCUUACGUCUGCAAGGUUGGUGAGGGCGUUAGCUAUCCAUCCAUGAUCCAUUAACCCCAUAUGAAAGAAAAAUUAAUAGGUACAAUUGAAAAUCUCAAUGUUAAGGUGCCUCAAGUUGAUGGUUCUGCAUCUAAUGGAAACAGAGGUGUCGGUGUCGGUGUCGCUGGCGGGUGUGACACCAGAGUGUUGGGGUGAGUCUAGUCUAGCUGCGGUUCUGCGCUACUUGGGGUACGCUGCAACUUUGUUCCAAAUUUUGUCUCCAAAUGAAAUGCAUGUCACUCUGUGUUCGACAUAGUAUGUAAUUCUACCUUUUUGGUUUUUUUAGGGUGAUGCUUUUGGUCAUUUCUUGGAGUGUUGCUAGCGUGUUUCUGAUAGCAGGCCCCCAAAAAAUAUAGCGGGGACGUAGAGGAGUAGCUGUGAAGCUGCUUAUAUGCAGCGGCAAUUCAACUUUCAGCUUUUAGUUUCUCGCUCUCAACUGCCUCCCCUGCCGUGCUCGCUCUCUAUCCACCCAUCGAUGCUCAAGAGCAUGGCCACCCCCUUCAGGCUCACGUACAACACAACGUCAGAUGCGGCGGCCUGAAGCAAGGUGAAACUCUCCAUUCAUGAACGUUUUUCUCAGGCUCUAAGCCCUUGGUUGUGACUACGGAUUUGCGUGGACUCGAUGUUAUGUGUGAGAUUAACGCGGUAUGCACUUGAGGUCAAGGCUGAGGAGGUAGAGAGGCAAAGACUGAUCCAUUUUGUACACAAUAAAUUUCCUCUGUUUUUCCUUCAAUUCUCUCUGCACCUUUAUCUUGGUGUUAGUUUUGAUCUGAUAUGCAUUGCUCUAUUCCGCUGGUCCGAUGGUCCCUCUGCAGACACCUCAAAUUUAAGUUGCCUUCCGUCUUAGGAAAUCCAUGGAGUUCAGCUUUUUGUACAGCCACUCCACUUGCCGCGGAUGAGGUGCUUACACAUGCCUCCCAUUCACAACAGAUUGCACUGCUUUAAGCCAUUGUAAUUUUCAUCACUUUCUCUCGCUCUAGAUCCAUGACCCUGUUUAUGUUUGUUUGGCUGCUAUCACAAUCCUACCAACAUACUAGGCAAGGGGGUAGAUGACCAAGGUUACAUACAUAUUUGCUAAGGCGUGUCAUGCUUACACGAGGGAAGGUUGGUGAGCUUACACUACAGGAAUCAACUACUUUGCCAUCAGCCACGGCGGACGACAAAGGCAUGGAUGGCGGACGGCAAAGACCUUUGCCGUCAGCCGCGGACGGCAAAAGGUGACGGCAAAGUAUGGGACGGCUAAGAGCUGCGUUGCCGCCUACUUCGGCCAGCUGACGACAAAGGGGCCUUUGCCAUCAGCAGCGGACGGCAAAGAAGACGGAUGGCAAUAAAUGUGCUAUUACUCCGUUAGGUGGUUAACGGCAGGCCUUUGCCGUCCGCUGCGGACGGCAAAGCCUUUGCUGUCAGCCACUGUUGGCAAACUCACCAAAUUGCUCAGCCUCCCAGGAAGCACAGUUGCCUGCCACGUGGCAUCUUUGCCGUCCGCUGCUGAUGGCAAAGAUCUCUUUGCUGUCGAUGGCAGACGACAAAGAUCCUGCAUAUUGUCUCCUUUUUUCUGUUUUUUUACUCCAACAAUUUUCACAGCAAAUAUAUAUCACAUAUCCAGCACAUAAGUUUCAUAUCGCAUAUCCAGCACAUAAGUUUCAUAUCACAUAUCACAUCAGUUUCAUGCAUACACAUUGUUCAUACAUAAGCAAGUGCCAUCCAUACACAUUAUUCAUACAUAAGCAAGUUCCAUGAUAGCAAGCUAGAUACAAUGCAAAGUUUCAUGAAAGGAAAAGCAAGCACUCCAUCAUAGCAAGCUAGCUUCCAUGAAGUGAAUGAAAUCUGCAAAAUGGUAAAUAAGAAAGUUAGAAAUAGGUGACUAGAACAAAAAGAAGACUAGAACAAGAAGUAUAUGUCAUUUAUGAGCUAACUUAGGUGAAAUGGAUCAUAUAUGAGCUAACAAAGUUGAAAUGGAUCAUUUAUGAGCUAACUUUGUUGAAAUGGGUCGUUUAUGAGCUAACUGAGGUGAAGGGCAUCGUUUUUGAGCUAAGUAAGGUGAAAUGGAUCAUUUUUUAGCUAACUUAGGUGAAAUGGAUCAUUUAUGAGCUUUUAUGAGAUAACUUAGUUGAAAUGGGUCGUUUAUGACCUAACUUAGGUGAAAUGGAUCAUUUAAGAGCUAAUUUAGGUGAAAUGGAUCGUUUUUAGCUAAUUUAGGUGAAAUUGAUGGUUUAGGAGCAAAUCUAGGUGAAAUGGGUCAUUUUGGAGCUAACCUACAUGAAAUGGGUCAUUUUGGAGCUAACCUACGUGAAAUGGGUCAUUUUGGAGCUAACCUAGGUGAAAUGGGUCAUUUUGGAGCUAACCUAGGUGAAAUUGGUCAUUUUAAAGCUAACGUAGGUAAAAUGGAUCAUUUACGAGCUAAUCUACUAAAAUCAGUCAUUUUAGAGCUAACUUGGAUAAAUUGGAUCACUUGUAAGCUAACUAAGGUAAAAUGAGUCAUAUUAGAGCUAACUUAGGUAAAAUGGAUCGUUUAUGAGCUAACUAAGCUAAUUAUGCAAUUUUUGACAUAAGUAACCUAAGUACAUAUCGUUUUAGAGCUAACUUACGUAGAAUGGAUGGUUUAUGAGGUCAGUAAGCAUAUUAAGUCAUUUUGAAGGAAAAGAAGCUAACUCUAGGUCAUUAUGGUAAGCAUAUUGGAGGAAAUAAAGCUAAGUCUAGGUCUUUAUGCAUUUGUUAAGCAAAACACUAGAGAAACUUACCGUGAUCAGGGAGGUGUAGGAGCGGGCUAGCUCGUGCCGGUAGCUGGAGAAGGAUCGUGCGAUGCGUUUCUGGAGUUAAGCUGCACCAAAGAUCAUUUCCAAUGUCUCGUUAGCAUGAUGACACUCAAAUGUUAAGACUAGCAAGUAACGUCCAUUCAAAUUAAACUCACCGUGGUCUCAGGAGCAAUCUCUGGAUCAAUGGCUAUGGAGCCACAGGACCUCCCGCCACUAGAUAUCAUCACCUGCUCUAGAUUGUAGGGGAUCUGUCUCGGGUUAAACUCCUCCCCUUUCCUCGCCUUCCCCUUGACUUGCUUGUAAGACGCAGUGUGGGCCAUGGCAUACAGGUCGUACCCCUCUGACACCUUAUCCGUCUUAUUGUAGCAUGCCUGAAAGAGAGAAACAAAGUAAAUUAGUAAUUAAAGGGCUCAAGCUAGCAUGAUGAAUGAAUUGCAUUAAUCAUGAAGCAAACCACAUUACCCAAUUCCGUCCGAACUGAUAUAAGCUGGAGCUACCUUGAUGGUGUGUCACACCUUCAAUUUGGGCACGUUUGUCCUUGGCCUCAGUCAGUUCCCCUUCCAUCUUUCAACACCUGCCAUGACAAAGAGUAAACGAAAUUAGUACAACAUAAAAAAAUACCGACAUGAAUAAUAAUAUGUAUAUCACUUAAGUGUAUCAUCAUCAAGUACAACAUAAAAAAAUUGAAUACCUGACACUACUAAUAAUCUCGAUCAGUAUCAUCAAUAAAUGCAUAAUCAUCAUCAUCACUAUAAUCAAUGACGGGCUCAUAGGGUUCAGUGGCAUCAACAUGUGGAAGACCACCUUUACGUAAUCGGUCAAGCAUUGAGAGGUCGUCCGCAGCAGUAACCUCUUCUUGUUCCGGCUCUUCUUGUUCCUCCUCUGGGGUGAUGUGGGAUUCACUGUCGCUGUCUACUUCAAUGUUUUGGGGUGAAGUAUACCGGUUCUUGAAACGCUUUUUGGAAAGACGUGUCUCUUGGAAGAAUUCUCCUUCAUAUGUGUCUGGGUUAAUGUGAGGUUCAUAAUCCUCUUCCUUUGGGGGAGAUAGUCUAGCACGUGGCGGCACUUCAUAAACGACAUCCCAACCUUUCAGAUUUGGAUUAGUUUGGCAGGCCCAAGGUAGAUAGAAUACUUGGGUCGCCUGUUGAGCCAUAAUAUAGACAUCAGGAACAUCUAAAUGGGUGCUUUGGUUGAUUUCAACUAGCCCUAUAUGUUCAUGAGUCCUUCUAGUCUCCUUCGGCUGAAACCAAUAACAUUGAAGACUAUGACAUUCGGUGGGUUUUCACCAUAGAAUAGAAGUUCAUAAAUUGCUUCAACUCUCCCAUAAUACUCGGUACCUCCUUCGCCGAUAGCAGAUACACAACAAUUUGUAGACUUUCGGUCGGCCAUAGAUAGCUCUUUGACGUAGGUACGAAAACGAUACCCGUUGAUGUCGUAUUUGUCAAAUGAACGGACCUUAUAGUCAAAACCAUUAGCGACUUGUCUCAAUUCGGCGUCCAUAGACUCUGAAUUAGCCUACAAGUUUAAUAUGAAAGGAUUGUUGCAUUACACACAAAUUAGCGAAUGAAAUGAAAUUGUCUAAUAGAAUUUACCGUUUGUUUGAACCAAGAGAUGAAACCGGGAUAGCCGCCUCCUUGCUUUGCGAGAAGCUCAUACUCUUCGACGGAAUCCUUUUGGAUCACCGCUCCAUACGAGAAUAGGGCGGCGUAUCGACUGUAUGAAAUAUCCAGGAAUAAGAGUAGUUCAAAGGAAAUAGAAGUUGCUAAACAAUGUACCGAGAACUUACUCGAUGUACGGCCGCACUUCUAUCAGGUUGUUGAAGAUAUACAACGAAAUGGUCCGCCAUUCUUCGUUAUCCAAAGAUACUGGAUUUGAAACACUGGCUGGUGCGAGAUUGCCUUUGAAUAGGCUGAGGUUGGAUCCACCCUUUUUAGGCUCGUCAGCAUUGUACCGAGGCUUCGGAUUAUGCAAAUGACGAUUUUUGGUUUCGUAGUGUGCUGUCACGAAGUUUGCCGCCUCUUCAGUGAUGAAUGCCUCAGCCAUAGACGCUUCAAUUCUACGUUUAUUUUUACAUUUUUCUCGAAGCGUCUUCUGCAUCCUCUCAGUUGGGUAGCACCAACGAUUUUGCACGGGCCCCCCCAAUCUUGCCUCGGUCGGGAGAUGCAAAAUCAAAUGCUGCAUUUUAUUAAAGAAGCCCGGUGGAAAGAUCUUCUCUAACUUGCAGAUCAACUCUGGCGCCAACUCUUCCAUUUCUUCUAGCACGCCAGGCGAUAGUUUUUCGCACAAAGAACACGGAAGAAAUAGCUGAGUUCUGCCAGUACUAGCCAUUCAUCCUCAGGGAUGAAGCCACGCAACAUCACCGGCAUUACCCGCUCAAUCCAUAUGUGCCAAUCAUGACUCUUGAGACCAAAUAUCUUCAAUUUAUCAAGACUCGCUCCCCUCUUUAGAUUCGCCGCAUACCCAUCGGGGAACAUCAACUGCAUUUUCACCCACAAGAUAAUUUCCCUCAUAGUUGGCCUUCCAAGAUUGAACCAUGCCUUUGGCUUCGUCCAGUUCUGCUUUUCUUUCGGUUCUUUCAUGUUUUGUAAUAGCCUAUCACAUAGCGCCUCCAGAUCGACUCUAGCCUUAGUAUUAUCCUUUGACUUCCCAUCUAUGCCGAACAAUGUACCAAAAAGUGCCUCGGCAAUAUUCUUCUCAGUGUGCAUCAUGUCGAUGUUGUGUGGGCAAAGGAAGUCUUUGAAGUAAGGCAGAUCCCAUAAGCAUGUUUUGUGAGUCCAGGCGUGCUCAGAAUUAUACCCCUUGAAGUACCCUAGACGCUCUGGAUCUGGCUCGAGAGCAUUUAACUGAUCCAGGGUCUGUUGGCUUGUCAACGCAGGUGGUGCAGAGUUUUUUACAACUCUACCUCUGAUGAAGUUCUUCUUGUCUUUCCUGAACUUAUGGCGAGGAUCCAGGAACUGUCUAUGCAUGUCGAAGCAAGAAAACUUGCGAUCGGCCUGAAGCCAACGAAACUCAAGAGCUCCCUUGCAUGUGGGGCACGAGAACCUUCCAUGCACACACCAGCCAACGAAUAGCGCAUACGCCGGCAAGUCAUGCAUCGAGUACAUGUACCAUACACGCAUUAUGAAGUUUCGUUUGCUAUAGGUGUCGUAUGUCUUGAACCCAUUAUCCCAGGCUUCUUGCAAUUCGUCCUUAAGCGGCUGCAUAUACACAUUCAUAUUUUUCUCCAGAUAGUUGGGCCCUGGAAUUAUCAACGUCAGCAAAAUGUUCUUUCUUUGCAUAGUCUGUCCGGGCGUGGGGGGGNNNNNNNNNNNNNNNNNNNNNNNNNNNNNNNNNNNNNNNNNNNNNNNNNNNNNNNNNNNNNNNNNNNNNNNNNNNNNNNNNNNNNNNNNNNNNNNNNNNNNNNNNNNNNNNNNNNNNNNNNNNNNNNNNNGGGGGGGGGGGAGAUUGAGUGGAAAGACAAAUACGGGCCAACAACUGUAUUGGGCUGCCGUCAUACCAAACACACUGAACCCAUCGAUGCUGAUGCCGACUCGAGGAUGCCUCGGAUCUGCCCCUUUGUCAGCAUGUAAUUCAUCAAACUUUUUCCACACAACACCAUCCGAUGUGUGUACCAUCAUCAGAUUCCCAUCUGCAUCUAGUUCGGUUCUUUUGCCUAUUUUGUGCCAUGUCAUCUGUCUGGCCGUCUCUUCGACCAUGAAAAGACGUUGAAGUCUUGGUACGAUUGACAUAUACCAAAGAACACUAACAGGGAUUUUGGUCUGUGUCUUCUCACCCAUACCAUUGUCUACCAUAAUAUACCUGGAACACUUGCAAAUGGGACAAUAGUUCAAGUCCGCAUAGUCAAGCCUAAAUAAGGCACAUCCUUUCUCACAGGCAUGUAUCUUCUCAUAGGGCAUCUUCAGUGCACGGAGGAUUUUGUCCGACUGGUACAGGUUUGCAGGCAUUACAUGGCCUUUGGGUAGAAAGCGUCCAAAUACUGUCAUAAUUGCGUUAUAGCAUUCUUUUCCCAAGUUGAACUGAGCCUUCAAAGCCAUUACUUGUGAGAUGGCAUCCAACUGACAAAGCUCAGUGUGCUCGUGGAGCGAACGUUUUGAAGACUCCAACAUUUCAUUGAAGGCCUUUGCAGAUUCCUCCAUCUCCUCGUCCGAAUCCCGAGCAUCAUCAUAGUCUUGCACCAUGUUUUCCAUCCCGGUACCAUGCUCGUCGGUGCGACGAUGAUCCACCUCAGCUCGGUCACGUUGGGCAGACUCACCAUGAAAUGUCCACAUCGUAUAAUCAGGCGUAAAACCAUUUUUCUGCAGGUGUUUACCCAUUUCAGCCUCUGUCCUCUUUUCCCAAUUGCCGCAUCGGAAACAGGGGCACCAAGUUUUCCUCUGGCCAUUUGCAAAUGCGGCUUGCACAAACCCCUUGGUUUUUGUGAACCAUUCAGCGCUCCAUUUGUUCUGACCAGUGUGACCGGUAUACAUCCACGCACGAUCACUCAUCUUGACUUUCAGAGCUACUGGACACACAACAAUUAUAUAUAUAAUUCACCAUGUAUAUAUUCAUCAGUUGAUCUACUUUGUCAAUUUUAUUACGUCCAUGCAACCUACACUCUAAUAGGUAAUGAUAGGUCCUAAUCCCACCCGAGUAUGUGUAGAUUGGGUUCAUUUUCCCAAGCUAUGCUCCGGAUCCGACGCAAAAUUUUGGCAGCACCUCGACGCUGUUCUCCUGAUACACGUCUCUGCAAUAAACAGAGAGGUGUGUACCCGGAGAACAACAGGGGAGGCACUGACAAAAUUUAUGCGUCGGAUCCGGAGCAAAGCAUAUGGGAAAACGAACCCAAUCUACACAUACUCGGGCUGUCUAUGGAUAGCGUUGGACAAUUCGAAAGAAUCAAGGUUAUAAAUAUGCAAAUGCAUGCAUAUUUAUAACUAUGACGCUUUCGAACGGGAGACACAUAUUGGUUACGCAUACUGAUGAUUCAAGACACAUAUAUAGCUAGCUAUCAAAUUUCAUGUCAUUUGUGCAAAUAAUUAAUGGGGGAGAAGGACAUGUCAUUUGUGCUCACCCACGAACGAAGGGGCAGAGCUCGUCAAACGCACGGCGAGGUCGUUGAACACCAAACCUCGCAGCGAUGAAACAACUGCACAUUUAAAUCUACCCGAUCAACACAAUUAUAUAUGAUGUUUUUCAUAAAAAAUCGAAAAAUAUAUGACCUAACUAAUAAUUCACAAAUAUAUGACCCCGUCGGCCUCUGGAAGGCCAAAGAGCCCCUUUUCGGGAGGUUUCGGGGGUCGGGGUGUCAUGUCGGUGUCGGGGUGCUGUNNNNNNNNNNNNNNNNNNNNNNNNNNNNNNNNNNNNNNNNNNNNNNNNNNNNNNNNNNNNNNNNNNNNNNNNNNNNNNNNNNNNNNNNNNNNNNNNNNNNNNNNNNNNNNNNNNNNNNNNNNNNNNNNNNNNNNNNNNNNNNNNNNNNNNNNNNNNNNNNNNNNNNNNNNNNNNNNNNNNNNNNNNNNNNNNNNNNNNNNNNNNNNNNNNNNNNNNNNNNNNNNNNNNNNNNNNNNNNNNNNNNNNNNNNNNNNNNNNNNNNNNNNNNNNNNNNNNNNNNNNNNNNNNNNNNNNNNNNNNNNNNNNNNNNNNNNNNNNNNNNNNNNNNNNNNNNNNNNNNNNNNNNNNNNNNNNNNNNNNNNNNNNNNNNNNNNNNNNNNNNNNNNNNNNNNNNNNNNNNNNNNNNNNNNNNNNNNNNNNNNNNNNNNNNNNNNNNNNNNNNNNNNNNNNNNNNNNNNNNNNNNNNNNNNNNNNNNNNNNNNNNNNNNNNNNNNNNNNNNNNNNNNNNNNNNNNNNNNNNNNNNNNNNNNNNNNNNNNNNNNNNNNNNNNNNNNNNNNNNNNNNNNNNNNNNNNNNNNNNNNNNNNNNNNNNNNNNNNNNNNNNNNNNNNNNNNNNNNNNNNNNNNNNNNNNNNNNNNNNNNNNNNNNNNNNNNNNNNNNNNNNNNNNNNNNNNNNNNNNNNNNNNNNNNNNNNNNNNNNNNNNNNNNNNNNNNNNNNNNNNNNNNNNNNNNNNNNNNNNNNNNNNNNNNNNNNNNNNNNNNNNNNNNNNNNNNNNNNNNNNNNNNNNNNNNNNNNNNNNNNNNNNNNNNNNNNNNNNNNNNNNNNNNNNNNNNNNNNNNNNNNNNNNNNNNNNNNNNNNNNNNNNNNNNNNNNNNNNNNNNNNNNNNNNNNNNNNNNNNNNNNNNNNNNNNNNNNNNNNNNNNNNNNNNNNNNNNNNNNNNNNNNNNNNNNNNNNNNNNNNNNNNNNNNNNNNNNNNNNNNNNNNNNNNNNNNNNNNNNNNNNNNNNNNNNNNNNNNNNNNNNNNNNNNNNNNNNNNNNNNNNNNNNNNNNNNNNNNNNNNNNNNNNNNNNNNNNNNNNNNNNNNNNNNNNNNNNNNNNNNNNNNNNNNNNNNNNNNNNNNNNNNNNNNNNNNNNNNNNNNNNNNNNNNNNNNNNNNNNNNNNNNNNNNNNNNNNNNNNNNNNNNNNNNNNNNNNNNNNNNNNNNNNNNNNNNNNNNNNNNNNNNNNNNNNNNNNNNNNNNNNNNNNNNNNNNNNNNNNNNNNNNNNNNNNNNNNNNNNNNNNNNNNNNNNNNNNNNNNNNNNNNNNNNNNNNNNNNNNNNNNNNNNNNNNNNNNNNNNNNNNNNNNNNNNNNNNNNNNNNNNNNNNNNNNNNNNNNNNNNNNNNNNNNNNNNNNNNNNNNNNNNNNNNNNNNNNNNNNNNNNNNNNNNNNNNNNNNNNNNNNNNNNNNNNNNNNNNNNNNNNNNNNNNNNNNNNNNNNNNNNNNNNNNNNNNNNNNNNNNNNNNNNNNNNNNNNNNNNNNNNNNNCUAGGGCGGGCCGUCGGGGAGGAGAGAGGAAGAGAAGGAGAGUAACGGCCGGGGGCCGGGGGGUGUGGCGUUCGUUAGUUACUCGGCUCUUUGCCGUCCGCCACUCUUUGCCGUCCGCCGGUAUCUCUCUUUGCCGUCUGCUAGCAGACAUCAAAGACGUGGGGGUGUUAAGUUUUUUUAAACGGGCGGGUGGGUGGGGGCCACCUCCCUCUUUGCUGUCAGCUGGCUGACGGCAAAGAAUUUUUGCCGUCAGCUGGCGGACGGCAACGAAAUGGCUCAUGGCAAAGAGCUUCUUUGCCGUCCGCCGUUUCUUUGCCGUCGACUUUUCGGUAGCUGAUGGCAAAGAGCUUCUUUGUCGUCCGCUAGCCGACGGCAAAGAUCAGGCAGAUGGCAAAGUAGCUGAUUCCAGUAGUGUUAUUAGUUGAUGUAGAAGAUUAUAUGAUGCAACUCAUUGGUGAGCUUAUUAGUUGGCGAGCUUAUUACAGGUGAUGUCUUGCUUGACAAGCCAACUAACCAUACAAUAUCUCUAGUAGUUAAUCUAUACAAGGCUAGAGAUCAUUGGAAGAUCAAUCAGAGAUAAGUACAGAUAUAUCACGUUCAACACCCCCCGCAGUCGAAGCGUCGGCGUCAGUGAUGCAAAGACUAGAAUGAAAUCCUGGAAUGCAGCAGUUGGCAACCCCUUGGUCAUAAUGUUGGCAAACUGUUGGGUAGUCGGUACGUGAAGGACACGGAGUUGACCCAACUGAACUUUCUCGCGCACAAAGUAAAUAUCCAGUACAAUGUGUUUGGUGUGCUUGUGUUGCACCUGAUUGGCCGCAAGGUAGGUGGCCGACACAUUAUCACAAAAGAUCACUUUAGCCUUCGGAAGUAAAACCAGAAGUUCACCAAGCAGGUGACACAACCAACAAGUAUCGGCAACGACGUUGGCAACAACAUGGUACUCAACCUCGACAUUCGAGCGGGAGACGGUAGGCUGCCUCUUAGAGGACCACAAGACAAGGGAGUCACCGAAGAAGACAUGGUUUUCAAACGUGGAUCGCUGGGUGUCAGGACAACCAGCACAAUUCGCAUCCGUGUAAGCAAGAAGCUCGGUGGAGGCGAAGGCGCGGAGAUGAAGAGCAUAGAUUGGCGUGCCAGGAAUGUACCAUAGAAUGCGCUUGACCAGAGACCAGUGAGCAUCACGCGGCGAGUGCAUGCGCAAUCAAACUUGCUGCACCGCAAACUGAAUGUCUGGUCUGGUGAGCGUGAGGUACUGAAGUGCAUCAACAAUACUGCGGUAGAGAGCGGCAUCGGUGGCAGGCUGUCCAGCUGUGGCAGAGAGCUUCGGCUUGACCUCAGCAGGCGUGGUGGCCGGCUUGCAAUCGAUCAUGCCAGCACGGUCCAACAGGUCAAGAGCAUAUUGCCCUUGAUGGAGGAAAAACCAGAGGCAUCGCGUCGCACAUUAUGUCGACAAAAAAAAUCCUAAAUUCUAAUAAAUAUUUAUACAAUGUAAAACAUCUAUUUGCUUAAUUCAACAAUACUUGAAUGUGAAUUUUUUAAAAGUUCAUGAUUUUGAUAAAACAUUCAGGAAUUUGAGAAAAGUUGAUGGAUUAAAAAAAUUCUUGAAUUCAAAAAAUGUUCUUGAAGUUGGUAAAAGUUCACCAAUUUAGAAAGAAAAGAAAAGAAAAGAAGGAAAAUGAAAAUACCUACCAAAAAAUUGGUAAUAAACAAACCCGAAAACCAGCCCAGAAACCAAAAGAUCCCCAAAACGGAUAGUGGGAUCGUGUUAUGGGCUGGCCCAUUUAGCUACCAAUGAAACGCAGGUGGGUGCCAUUUAGGAGAAUACACUAUAACUAGCACAGUGGGCGCCAAUUGGCGAAAUCACUAGUUAAAAAGUAUCCCUUGCAAAGGUCACUCCCAUCUUUUCGGGUUGCGAGAAGUGGUGCACUGCAGGUGCGCCAUUUGUCACAAACCGGGUGUUCCCUUUUUUUAGAUUCAUUUAUUCAAAAUGUUCUAUCUUUUAAACCAUGCGUCUAAAUCCUGAACAGUUUUCGCCCUUGGAUUUCUGGUGUCCAAAUCUCGAAACUAGAUCAUAUGUUAAUAGGUUUUAAUGAACUUUUUUUUCACAAAAAAACCCGGGAAAACUGGAAAAAUAAGCCCGAGCCGGAAGAAUUGUUUCCCCCCACUUUUUUCCCUUUUCGAAGAGGCACAAUUGUGCCUCUAGCGGAAGCACACUUGUUCCCCUGCAGUAGAAAAGAGAAAGAGAAAACACGACCUUUUCUUUUUUGAGUCUUCUGCGAGAAGCAAACCUCUGCCUCCGCGAGAAGCAAAUCCGUGCCUCUCACGGAAGCACAAAAAAAAGAAAGUAAUUUUUUUUUCUGACAGGCACUCACGGAAGCAAAUUAUGUGCCUCCACGAGAAGCAAAUAUGUGCCCCCCCCCCCCGCGGAAGAAACGAAAAAAAAUACGUUUUCCCUCUUUUUCGAGAGGAAAACCUAUGCCUCUUGCCAAAAUAAAUCUGUGCAUCCACGAGAAACAAAUAUGUGUCUCUCACAAAAAACACGUUUUUAGUGCAAUGCAAUUUCUAGAUCGUCAAGAUAUGCCUAGGGAACUGGACUGGACAUUUCCAAACCAGUUCGAACCAACAGAGUUUACGCCCGCUAACCCUAAAAAACAGAGUUUAGGCCCUGGCCUCAACAACACGGUUUAGGGCCAGUCGACACUCACCCGACCACCACACAAGUCAAGCGGGCCUCUGCCCUUCCUCCUCCCGUCGCAGUAUUUCUUGGCCCACUCCUCUCCCUUUCCCAACCCCCUCCUAGCUAGGGUUUUACUUUUCCCUCCGCUAAGGUUUUACCCACGAGCGACCCACCAUGAUGGUCGCCGAGCUGCAGGCGGAGCUGCUCCGCGACUAGCUUGAGGAGCACAAGAUCGAGGUGAUCCUCCAUUCCACCCCUAGUCGCCAUCAUUUCCCAUCUCAUCUUCAUAGCCACCACCAUCAUCACCGUAGCCAUCCAUCUCCAAGUUAGUCAUACUUGUAACCGGCAUAUCGCAACCGGCAACUAUUGUAAGACAUAUUAUCUGUCAAUAAUUCAUCUUUAUGUCAUCUUCAAUAACUUCAUCUUGCGAUCCGAUCGCCAUGUGUGAGGAAUUCAGUAAGGCAAUGGGUUUAGGCACGGCCUUGCAACCCGAUGUAUUUGUGCCAAGGAUCAUGGGAAUGACUUCAUAUGAUUGACGUUAUUUGUAUGUGUCCGAUUGCAAUGGAACCGUCUCUUGUCUUAUUCUCGUUCUAAGGCCCCACAGGUACCCAAGAUCCUGUAGAUCAAUCAAGGAGAAGGUAAAGAGCAAGGAGUACGCGGAACACUAUCCUGAAUAGAAGUGAGAAAAGGGGUUAGUACGUUAGAGGAAAUCUAUUCCUUGGGGAUGAAUGAGGUGUAGCCGUUAAACUCCCAAUGCUUUUAUCUGAAUGUUUAUUCCUAACGCAGCAAUAAGGGCCAUCGGUUGGACAACUGACUCUUGAUGCAUGCCGCACAUUGUUCANNNNNNNNNNNNNNNNNNNNNNNNNNNNNNNNNNNNNNNNNNNNNNNNNNNNNNNNNNNNNNNNNNNNNNNNNNNNNNNNNNNNNNNNNNNNNNNNNNNNNNNNNNNNNNNNNNNNNNNNNNNNNNNNNNNNNNNNNNNNNNNNNNNNNNNNNNNNNNNNNNNNNNNNNNNNNNNNNNNNNNNNNNNNNNNNNNNNNNNNNNNNNNCACGGUUUAAUAUAAUUAAGAUCCCGAGCACAAAUAUAAGGUUGUGAGAGUAAGACCUCAUACCCAUGCCAUUUUAAUACUAGUGUUUACAUCUAAAAGGUUUUAGAGGUCCGAUUGAUAAACUGGAAUUUCAUUUGUUAGCAAUAACUUAUCAGAGUCUUUGACAUAGUGCACACCGUCUCGUGGGUUUGAUAACCCAGGGUUACUGCUUAGGGAAAAAGUACGGGAACCUUCUGCAAUCCAUACUCGAUCUCAAAGGGCAUCAUGCAGUGCAGGGAGGCGCUUCCUACAUGCGGAAACUACACGAGUGACUCUGCCAGACUUUGCUUGUUCGAUUCUGGCACCCUCACAUCUCCCUCUUGAUGCCUGUUUGUCUCGCCUCCAGUGGCUCGGCGAGCUAGGCACCGUGACCCCUCGUGACCAGUGAUGCGGAGGCCUUCGGUGAUGUAUAAUCCCCAAGUCUCCGGUCUCUCCCUUGGCCCUUUCGCUUGUGUAAUAUGAAAUCUAGGUCCUACCCUAGGUCCUCGUGAGGUGAGUGGGUUAUAGUUGAGCCAGUUGAGGAGGAAAAGAGGCAAAAUUGAUCUAGUUUUUACACAAUGAAAUUCCUCUUCGUACACCCUUUUCAGUUACUAUGUGGUCUACAGUGGUGUAGUUUCGCCAGAUAUGUACUGAUAUCUUAUCUCCUCAGCGAGUACAUUACUAUUGUCUCUAACUCCCCUUGCAAAUACGAGAAUAUUGUAUCCUUCUAUGCCCAUAUGUUUUUCUAGAGAUGGUGUGUUUCCAGAUGCAUCCCAUUCAUACUUCAUAGUGGAUUGCAUUGAUUUAACCAUCUUUAUUGUCAGUCCACUAUCUCUCCCGAGAGCCUCGACCUUGUUUGUGCUUCUUUGGGUACUUGUACUAACCUGAUAACAUAAUUAAAGGCUACAAGGAGACUACGGAGAGUAGUGCAUCCUUUAUAAGGUCCAAUCAUGCUUACACUUAUGUAUGUUGGUGAGUGCAUUAGCUACCCAUCCAUUAUGAUUGGGACCAAGCCCUAGAGUCUGCUUUGUAUCUCAACCUUUAUUUAUCUUUCUCCAAAGAGGUUUGGCUACACAUGUGUGCUCUGUUUCAUUGUCCCUGCUCACCCUAGCCUCUACACUCAAUACUCAUUUACCAAGCUUUUGGGAGAUGGUGCAUUCGGAGCCAAUACUAAAAUACAUAACCAUGCCGAAUGCUAUAGGAGCGAAAUGCUGGAAUAUUCAGCGACAACACCUCCCACUCCUUAGAGUCGCAGGUGGCAUCCAAGAUUACAAAUGACAUGUCACCCUUGUUUCCAUUGAUAUAAUAGCCUAGUUCUUUGUUUCUUCUUUGUACCCUAUGUUCUCUCUUUUCAAACCCUGCUAGGUUGUAAAACUUAUCCCUAGGUUAAAUAACUUUAAACUAAAAUUAAUAUACUAUCUAGAACAAUAGAAAAUCUGAAAGAAAAAAGAAGUUCACGAGAAGAGACGACUGGGAACAAAUCCCCCGCUAAAGUGUAUCAGUAGCAUGUGUUUGCCCGCGCUACUGCUAUACCUGCUUAGCAGUAGCGCUACUGGUAGUUACUAGCAGCGCGCCUCUCUACCCGCGCUACUACUAUUGUUACAUAUUUCUUUUUUGUUUCAUGCCGUAUUCAUAUGCCAUUAUACAAGUUUUCAUACAGUAGCAAUUUAGGGAUUUUUUUACAUCAGAAUGAGUUAUUACAUCAUUGGGUGAAAGAACCGCGGUUUAGCUUCAAGUGGAUGGAUCCUGGAUCCAUCCACUUGAAGGUAAACCGCGGUUCUUUCACCCAAUGACAUAAUAACUCAUCGUCGUCAUCAUCAUCAUCAUCAUCAUCAUCAUCAUCAUUAACAACUUAUCAUCAUAAUACAUCAUUGUCAUAUAACAACUCCUCAUGAUCAUCAUUUUCAUCAAUGAGAAAUCAUAUAGCAAGUUGGUCACUAGUCAUAAUCACAACUCCUCCACCUCCUCCUCAUCAACUCUAACACAUUGUACCACAUAAUAACACGUUGUACCGGACCUACUCCUCUCUAAUAGGACCUACUACACUCUCUUAGGUAAAACAACAUAAAACAAGAUAGGCCCUGACUCUCCAUUAUGGAGAAUGGAGAUUAUCCUGUCUCCAAUUCCUGUGUGUCGCACAAUUUUGCUUCCAAGUACCUCCCUACUACUGACCAUACAUUGUUUCCAAUCUUUGAUUGUCAUGUCUUCAUCGGUUUUAGAAAUCCGGUAUGAACAGCUGUGAUGUGUAGGAUGACCUGGCCGUAAGCUCAUAACAUCAAGGAGACCUUUCGGAAACAUAAGAUGAGGCACACAAUCCUUCAGGAUUUUCUGUUGAAAAACAUAGUAAUAACUUCGUAGUUAGCAAUGUAGUUUAGGUUUAGAAUAAUUUAUGCAAAAGAUGCACGGAUGUCGUACUAGUAAAAGAUCUUACCAUGCCGUCUCCAUGGAUGUUACUGUAGUUCAACACGUGCACUAGUGGCACGUAUUGACCAUAAUGUGUAGGAGUUUGAUAAUAGAUAUUGUAAUUCUCAAGAUCAUUAAUAAAUGAAAUCAGAUGAUUUUUCUCCUGUUAAGUUAAUUCUGCGCCAUCGGUGUAGUAGGUUCUGUCUACCAUCUUCCGCACAUUCUUUGAAGAAUGAAAAUAAGCUAUCAAUGGAAAUAAGCUGUAAACUAUUUUUGAAAUAAACAAUAAAUUACUUAAUAACUAUGUUUGAAAAACUCACAUAGCGGUAGAAUUGGAAGCGUAUCAACAAGGACCCAAAUGUCCAUAUUGUCUUCCUCAAUGUCAGGAUCACCAAAAUCUAUGGUGACAAGCAUACUCUCAUGGAAAUCAUAUGCCUUGCAAAGUGUUUCCCAACUCGGGCAACCAAAAUGGGAUACGCUCACAAAAUUGUAUAGAUUUACAGGAAAAUCGAAACCAUGAUGGGUCCUUAGGUGAACUAUCUUUGUUUCCAUAUUUUCAUGAUCUUCAAAAUCCAUCCUCUCCAAGACAUAGCAUCUUGCAUGUCAUGGGAUAAGCUAGUCGAAUUGUAAAAGACGAAAAUUACACGUUGAAGAAGAAGAAGUCAAGCUUAAUUACGAAAAAAACACUUUGCGUCAUUGUGUACCAUUUCAGCAUCGAAGGUCUCCUGAAGCUUAAUGCUGAAGCACGGACCUUCUACCAAGUGAGACCUGUCGCAGAAACCCUGGUUGUCGCCGCACCAGGAGCACUCCGCGAGACUUUCGUCGUCUGACGACAUUUCCUAUGUUCAUAAUUCAAAGAUUAAACUUCUAAAAUUCAAUAUAUAAAAUACAAAAAUUAAAUUAGAUUAUUAUUAUUUAGCACGGGUUGAUUAUCGGUCCGUCGAGUCUUUUUUUGAAAACUCUCAGCUCACGUGGUGUAUAUAUUCGAACGUUUGUGAUGGUCGCUCCUCCCUUUGUCCUCCAGUGCAUUAAACCAAAAUGUCUAGAACACGGGAACGAAGGAGAAGUGACCCCCACGACAACAGUCGGCAUUCUUCUUCUCUUAUAUAUGGUGGACACACUCCCUCACUGAUUUUUCGACCGUCGGUGAUGGUUGUUACUCCUCCUUCCCCUAGUGCAUAACAAAGGUCUAGCAUAAGGAGUAGAAGGAGAAAUGACCCCCACGACAACAGUCAGGAUUCUUCCUCUCUCAUAUAUGGUGCAGACUUUCUCCCUCACUCAUUUUUGGAUUGUCAUGUAUGGAGCCUCGACAGACUUAAAGUCAACCCGAAAUGUCGUUUAAUUAUCUUUCUAGAAAAUCUAGGCCACUCAAUAUUUCCUACAUAUUCUAGCACAAGUCAUGCCAAAAUUCACGGAAAAAUCCGGCAUGACCUUUGCUAAAAAGGAUAUAUCGAGCGCCUGAAAUUUGCUGGAACGGAAAUUACUCAACACUCCGGCAAAACAUAGGCCACUCGGAGGUGUUACCUGCAAACAUGGCCACUUGGGCAAGCACAUAUCCCAUUUUCAUUCAAACUUGAUGGUCAUCGCAUUCAAACUUGAUGGUCAUUGCAUUUCAAUGGUUAGAAAUAUGAACAAAAACAUUUCAAAAUAUCUUAUAGGACUCAUAUUGACAUGGAGAUUUGGCUGAUAUCACCUCGAGGUCGGAGGGGGUCCGUGACGGGGACGACGGCGGCGACGACAUGGAGAUUUGGGUGCAAAAACAAAAUAUAAAUAAAAACAUUACUAUCCUCAUCUAAGGACUUAGUGAAACCCUAUAAGCUAUCAACUAAUCAAAUGCAUACACCUUGCAUAGUGCUCUCCAAUUUGAGCAUUCAAAAUAGGAGUAGUUCUCCAAUUUGAGCAUUCAAUAAGCAAAACAAAAUCAUAAAAUAGAUUAGUAUUCAAAUUAGCAUGCAUUCAAUAAGCAAAACUAAAUCAUCUCUUGCGUCCGUACAUCAUCGAAUAUUAUCACUAAUACAUCUCGAAUAGUAUCAUACAUAUAACCUCAUUAAUAAACCUAAAACCCUAGCGAACGACGGGUAUCAGCGCGGGUGGUGGACAACCAAAGAGAAGGAACCAUCACAGGAUCAUAGCUCCAGUGAGAUCCCUGAAGAACCUGCCAGGUAUUGGAGAACCUUCCCUCUAACGCAACCAUGUAGCGACGAACGUGCUCGUCCUCCUUGCUAACACAGUGACGUACCACCUCUGUGGGGGCCUCAAGCCUCCGCACUGUCACUGGCCCACGCGACCGCCACCAAAGAAGGUUCGGGUCAAUGACGGGCUGGCUCCUCACCAAGCUGCGCCCCCGGAAGGUAGCACAUCCCAGUACCAGCCCGGUGGAGCCCAGUCCCGGACAUGACCCCUCUGAUCAAGUAGGCCUCCUCUGCCGAGUUGACGAUGAGGAUGCGGGAUAGGCAUCGUUGACGUCAAUGCGGGAAUAAUUGCUUUAACUAAAAAAAUAAACUCGUUCUAUUAAUUUUCUUACUAAAAAUAAACUAGUUCUAUAGUAAAAAUUUAAUUAGAUCAUCAAAUCUCAUAUACCUAAAUUUUCUUACUAAAAAUAAACUAGUUCUAUUAAUUCAACUAGUUCAACUAAACACUUACUAUAAAUAAAAAUAAACUAGUCUUACUAAAAAUAAACUUGUUCAACUAGUUCUAUUAAUUUUCUUACUAAAAAUAAACUAGUUCUAUUGAUUCAACUAGUUCUUACUAAAAAUAAACUAGUUCUAUUAAUUUUCUUACUAAUUCUUUUAAACACUUACUAAAAAACAGUAAAAAAACUAUACUGAUUUUUUCUCUCUAAACUAAACACUACUCCCUAAUUAACAUCUAGUUAAACCCUACUGCCCUAAUUCUUAAGCAUCUACAAGUACUAACUAAUUAGAUGAACCCUAGCUAGGUACUUAAGCAUCUACAACUACUUAAGCACCCAUUGAUGAACCCUAGGAAUUUGUCCUAAAAACUACUUAAGCAUCUACAACUACUGCCCUAAUUAACAUCUAGUAUACAAUUAUAUUUACUUAACUACAUUGGGUGCACAACAACUAUAUAACUACUUAAGCAUCUACAAGUAGUAGCUAAUUUGAUGAACCCUAACUAAUUAGAUGAACCCUAAAAUUUGAUGAACCCUAGUUAGGUAGAGGUAGGGGAGGAGGAGGAGGAGGUGUAGGCAUGCUCACCUAGGGCGCCGACGGAGUUAGGGAGCGGCCGAGGGAGGGGCACGCGGCGUCGAGGUCGGGGUCGGGGCUAGGGCGCGCGGAGGAGGGCGACAAUGUAGGGCGACGGCAACGGCGGCCACCGAGGGCGUGCAGAGGGCGACGGGAGAGCGCGCGGCGGUCGACGGCGAUGUAGGGCGACGACGGCGGCGACAGCAAAUCGAGGGGGGAUUUGGGGGAAGUGGCCGGGGGGAAGAAGAACCGCGCGGUUAAGACAAAAAUAGCAGUAGCGCGGGCACGGAAAAGCGCUGCUGCUACAUUAGCUAUAGCUAACUUAGAUAUAGCGCUGGCUAAGAGAACGCGCUACUGCUAUUUUAGCUAUAGCGUUUGUCCUAAAAGCACGAUGCUGCUAUGCCUUUCUCCUUUAUUUUUCUUUUUCUUUUAUUUUCCUUCACAUUUUCUUUUUUUCCUUUCCCCUUUUUCUAUUUCUUCCAUUUUCAUUUACUUCUCUAUAUGUUUUUUAUUUUAUUUUAUUUUCAUUAGCAAUAGUGCUUUCCGUGUAAAACACACUGCUACAACAACCUUAGCAGCAGCGCGCUUUGCGUAAGCUCGCUACUACUAUUCCUAGACUGCUGAGAACAGUGUCGGAAUUGUAGUAGUAGCACUUCUUUCGUCUGACGCGCUACUGCUAUAAGCUUAGCUGCAGCGCGUUUAUUUGUCGGGCGCUAGUGCUAAGUAGUAGUAGCGCUUCUUUGUGACCCGCGCUACUGGUACGUUUCUGUGUAUAUGGUUUUCCCUUGUAGUGAAUGAUGGGUGGUGGUCCACCGGAUGAAGAUCCCAUCCCAAUUGAUGGAAAUCCUCGCCCAAGACUAGAUUAGGGUCAUAUUCAUCUCAAUCAAGAGAAUCAUAUGAUUGAAAUGCUACCUUUGGCUCAAGUUAAUGCACCUCAGCAACAAGGAAUUGAUAAUGUCAAUGCAGCACACCAGAUCCAGCCAAUUUCAAAUAUACAAAUAGUGGAAGAGACGAGGGAGAAACAGAGGAGGAUGAGCUGGGGACUUUGGGCUAUGCCUCUGAAUUAAAAUAUUAAUCGAGAGUUACAUAAUACCGAGUUCCUAUAAAUGAAUGAUCUUUUGGUACCAUUAGACAUCAACAUAGAUUAAUAGCUUUACCCGGAGGUACAAAGCAGUCUGACACUAUCUCUGGCUAUUACUGAAGCUAGCAAGAUUUAUUAAUUCCAUUGCUGGAGGUGGCCCACAAGAAACUAGCACUUUUUCCGAGAGCUCCCAAAUCUUAACUUGGUCCUUCCUCCUCCUGAACAAUGCUUCCAAAUGGUUCACUUGCAAAGAUUGAUCCAAAAGAGACACAUCAUAAAAAUUGUACAUGCCUCAACCACUGUUUCAACUAAUUGACUCUCUCCAAAAACUACUGGAAGAAGACUAGCUGAAUACUCAACAUGUCGUAGCACAUGAACUGGAUCAUAAUUCCCCUCCAUAACCAUCAUUUUUUUCCAGCCAAUUCUAACUCCUCUAGAUAGCAAGUCCAACUCUCAACAACCUGAACUUAAUGGAACCGAAGUGCCAACUUUCCAGUUUCAGCCGAUCAAACAAGUAGAAGCUAGUCCAACAGGGCCCUACAACUUGGAUUGAACAUUUAAAUUUGAAUAAUGCAAUUGAGGUGUCCCAGGAAGUCCAAGAAGCACAUAUGCUUGAUACUAUUAAUCUUGAAUAUUUGGGGAAUUAACUAUGAGAAAAGAUGGACUGCUAUAUCAAAUAAAAUUGAAGAAAUGGUGCGUCAUUUUGUGUAUCAGGAAAUAAAGAAAGAAUUUUACCAAAGAUACUUGAAACUGCCCCUGGAGAUCGAAAAAUCACGCCUUUAGUAGUGGCCUUAUGGGGUUGGUAAUUUUACGGAAUGAUAGUAUUUUCAAGGGAGAAGAUUCUUCAGAAUGAUUUCUUUUUUAUCUAUUUCGUUCACUUCCAUUAGCUUAGCAGACCCUUCGUUCUUAACAAAUGCUUAUGGACCCUUCCAAUCGAAAGAAAGAUCAGCAUUUAUGGACUCGUUACAAACAUUUAAUAGUUGGAUGACAAAAGGCUGGAUCAUUGCAACAGAAUUCAAGUUCAUCAGAUACCCUAAUAAUAAAAACAGAAAAGGGGCAACAUUCAAGGCAUGAUGCACUUUAAUGCUACCAUUAAUCACCUAAGCAUUGUCGAAAUCCCUUUAAAGGGAACAAGCUAUAAUUGGAGCAAUAUGCAAGACAUCCCUAUGUUUGAGCGUUUGGAUUUGUCCUUUCUUCAUAAGCUUGGACUAUUGCUUACCCUAAUACCUGGGUUAUCACAUUGGCCAAAACCACCUCUGAUCAUACUUCUAGUGUCAUCUAGAUAGUCACAUUCGUACCUAAGUUAAUGCUAUUCAGAUUUGAAAACUACUGGCUUCAACAUCUAGUAGACUGUCAAGAAUAUAUGGGAUCAACCUUCCAAUGAAGGGGGCAAUGUCAAAAUUAUUACGGUAAAAUUCAAAAGAUCGAGAAAAAGUAUGAAUCUAGGGGCCAAGACACUCUAAUCUCUCUGGAGCAAUUCGAAAUACUAAUAGCGUGAUCUUUUACUAUGACACCACUUAAGAAUAUAGGCCUGUUAGUGCAGUGGGAGACAACAACUGGGCUCCUUCAUCUCGUGAUAGAGCUGGAGUCCUUUGCUGUUGUGGGGCAGCUUUGCCUGCAAGGAUUUGCUGUCGCUGACAAGAGGAACACCUUCACAAGUCCUGGGAUAUGUUUGGAUCUUGACCAAAGUGUAGCUUAUCAUAGUUCUGUGCUAUGACCAAAACAUGGAUUUAUAAAUGGAUAGUUGCCAAGUUUUUUGUCAUAAUAAUACCUUUUUGUGAACCCUAAUUCGUGUUUCUACCAAUGUUCUAACUAACGGGUAACAAAAUUUCUACCAAAUUUCUGGCUAGGGCGUGUUUGGUCUGAUUCGUGCAAAUUCGUUGUUUUUCCUUUAAAUUUUGGACGCUGAGUUGUGAUUGUAUUACUCGUAAAAAAGGAGAACUGUGCUGGUUGCCUGCCUGCUUUUUGUGUUGUGUGACUUUCUGUGUCUUCCGCUUGUUCGCUUCCGCCCAUCUUUCUUGCCCUUUCCCUCGGUCCAUUCGUCUCGCCUCCUGCACCCCUCUCUCAUUCUCCACUGCCCCCUCUUGUGUGCACACCUACCGUGCUUCUCUGUCUACCUUACUCACACCAAACAGCCGUUGGCCAGGAGAGGCACUGUGAUUCCAGCGACCAAUGAUGGAUGUGGGUAGGUACACUCCCUGUCCGUAGGGAUGCAAGCGGCGUCCUGCAUAUCCCGCAAAACCAGCGAAUUAGUUCAACGCUGGCUGGAAAAUUAUCACUAAACUAGUGAUUGAUUUAUACUAAGUUGUAGCCCGCAAACACGUCCACUCUGUGUCCCUACCUGUCCGCAUUCUCCCGCUUUCCUCGCGUAUUGUAAAAAUUUAGGUCUCGAUUCUGAAUGUGCACAAACCCUAGGUUUUCGUGAGGCGUGGUUGUAGUUGAGGGGGAAGAGAGGCAAAAUUUUGAUUCAUCCGGUUUGUACAACUGCAAAUUUCUGGUCGACUUUCAUUUUUUGUAUGUCACUAUAUGGGCAAGGAGUGGUUUUGACUCAUACCGCAAUCUCCCAUGUGAGUACAUUAGUGUUGCCCAUGCCUUUACUCCUUGCAAAUAGUUUGUUAAUGCUCUUGGCUAAGAAACAUAUGAUUCUUUGAGACGAUGUGUUUCCAUAUGCCUCCCAUUCAUAUGUCAUAAAGGAUUGCAUUGAUCCAACCCAUCGUUUAUUGUCACUGCACUCUCUUGCUCAGGAGCCUCGACUUUGUUCGUGUUUGUUUGGCUGCUAGCACUAUCCCUAUAACAUAGUUAGAGGCUACAAAGGGAAUAUAGAGAGCAGUGCAUCCUUUAUAAGCGUCGAUCAUGCUUAUGCGGAGGAAGGUUGGUGAGCACAUUAGCUACCCAUCCAUUAAUUUCGUGCCCAGGUCCUAGAGUCUACUUCGUCCCCGAGCCUUAAUUUCAGUGGCAAGUGGAGGUUGGAAAUGACAUGCCAUCCAUCUUUGCAUUGAUAGCAUAGCCUAAUCCAUUUUUCUUCUUCGUAGCCUCUAUUUUCCUUUCUAAAUCUUAUCCCCAUGUCAAUUAACUCCAAGCUGAAUUCAACAUACCAUCUUGCACAACAGAAAAUCUUAACAUGACGGUGCUUGCAAGGUGAAACUUGUAGUUAGCAUUUGUCGUUGGAGGGCCUGGAGCCUUCAGUCCUGUGAUCGUGUUUUUAGCGUUACCAUUGGCGUAACAUAUUCUAAUAGAAGGAAGCAAAAAGUUUUUACAAGAAGCUCAUCCCCAUUAUCAUCAAUAGGCUAGAGCGCACGUGCACGCAUGCACGCACACACUAAUUACUCUUUAAGAUUUGACUCCCCACCUGCAUGGCCAACUUCUAUCGCUGGAAUCAAUCCAAUAAAUGGGAGAGUGAGGUGACCUCAUUGACCUGUUGAUGCAUAUUACCAACCACUCAAGCGUUCCUCUGUUUCCAAAGAAUCCAUGCAACCGAGAUCAUGUGCAUGCGACAACCUUCUAUGUUAAUACUAGUAUUGGCCAGCAAGCCUCUGGAUCGAACCCACCAAUCUUCAAGUGUUUCAUUAGCGUUUGGUGCAAUGGUAGAAGGGUAGAGUUGUAUCAAGAAUGCUUACCUAAUUCUCAUCUUGAAUUGGAGGUUUUAUUUGUGUUUCGUUUCAAACUAUUCGCAUGUAGGUUUUAUAGGCCUUUUAAUGUCUGACGAUGUGUUCUAAUGGAAAUGUAAAUUUCCAGUUUCAUAACUUUAUGACUUUUGUUUUGAAAUGCAGGUUGCAUUGCUUCUCCAUGUGUUUGAAAAUGUCAUUUUACUUUUUGGAUUUCUUCCCAACUUCAAGUAUUGUUGUAUGCCGAGACAACUUUUCAGUACCCUCCUCCCUUCAAAAUCCUAAAUUUGCAGAAUAGUUGAUAAUCACAUACUAUAUUUUUCAUUAUGGAAAUUUACAUAGAAUGAUAGGAAAAUUGAGGAUUUUCUCUGAGUAGUCUUUGAAAAGUCAAGGAGCCUUGUAAUCUACAUGUAUGGUGACAAGAUUGUGGGGAGCCGACACCCGCACUCUAUAUCUCUCCCCCCGAGUUGCCCCCUCGCUUUAUCUACCCUACCAACCUUAGCAACAUAACUCCUCCAAUGGUUGUUCCACUCGUCUCAGUUUUGCGCUAAUAUUUCCUAGUCUCUCGGAAAUGUGGUGUUGAGCUUAUUCUACACCCAUGUUGAUUGUCGUAAAUGAUGUUUUCUUCCUAUCCCAAGAGCCUCUACUCCAUUCAACUUAGUUUGGGUGCUAGUACUGUCCUUAUAAGAUAGGCAUCACGCUACAAAGGUAGUGCAUCCUUUAUAAAGGUGGGUCAUGCUUACAUCUGCAAGGUUGGUAAGCGCGUUAGCUAUCCAUCCAUUAACCCCAUACGAAAAAUAUUUAUUAACAGGUACAAUUGACAAUCUCAAGGUGCCUCAAGUUGAUGGUUCUACAUCUAAUGGAAACAGAGGAGAGCUAUCUUUUAAAUGAUAUAGCGAAGCAAAAAAGUAAGUUAGUGAUUUUUGAUGGCCAAUGAGGUGUCGGUGUCGCUGGCGGGUGUGACACCAGAGUGUUGGGGUGAGUCUAGUCUAGCCGCGGUUCUGUGCUACUUGGGGUAUGCUGCAACUUUGUUCCAAAUUUUGUCUCCAAAUGAAAUGCAUGUCACUCUGUGUUCGACAUAGUAUGUAAUUCUACCUUUUUGUAUUUUUUAUAGUGACAGUUUUGAUCCUUUUGUGGAAUGUUGCUAGCAUGGCCAUGCCAACCUGCCAAUCAAGUUCAUUUUUGACAUUACCCCUGAACCAGUGCCUUGUGAGGGGAUGCACCCUGAGACAUGAGAGAGAGAGGGAGAGAGAGAGAGAACUACUGUUCAAAAUAGUGUUUCUGAUGGCAGGGCCAAAAAAUAGAGCGGGGACAUGGAGGAAUAGCUGUGAUGCUGCCUUUAUGUAGCGGCAAUUCAAUUUUCAGCUUUUAGUUUCUCUCUCUCAAGUGCCUCCCUAUCGCGCUCGCUCUCUAUCCACCUGUUAUUGUGUACCAAAGGCAACCAUUGAUCCCUUUGGUACACAAUAAACUUUUCCUCUGUUUUUCUUUAAUUCUCAGUGCACCUUGAUCAUGGUGCUAGUUUUGAGCUGAUAUGCACUGCUCUAUUCCGCAGGUCCGAUGGCCCCUCUACCGUCACCUCAAAUUUAAUUUACCUUUCAUUGUAGGAAAUCGAUGGAGUUCAGUUUUCUGUACAGCCACUCUACUUGUGGCGGAUGAGGUGCUUACACAUGCCUCCCAUUCACAACAGAUUGCAUUGCUUUAAGCCAUUGUAAUUUUCACCACUCCCUCUCUCUCUCUAGAUCCACGACCCUGUUCAUGUUUGUUUGGCUGCUAUCACAAUCCUGCCAACAUACUAUGUAAGGGGAUAGAUGACCGAGACUACAUAUAUAUUUGCUAAGGCGUGUCAUGAUUACACGAGGGAAGGUUGGUGAGCUUAUUAGUUGGCAACCAUCUGUUACAUUUGUGACCAAGUCCCGGAAUAUGUUUAGUACACAAGUCAUAAUUUCCUCUUCUAGAUGGAGGUUUGGCCACAUGUGUGCACCUGCUCCAUUGUCUGCAUCUUGAUCUCAACCUUAACAUUGAGUUGCCAAGCUAGUGGGGGAUGAUGCUUUCGGAGCUUGUACCAAAGACCGGAGUCAUGCUCAACACUAUAGCCUCAUGUUCGGGUUUUCGUUCUCUCUUCAUUAUACUUUUUGUCUUUGUUUCUUUUUUGGUUUUCUUCAUUUUCUUCACUUUUUUUCUUUUCUUUUUGUUUCUUUGUCGCUUUUAUUGGUUUUUAAACACAUGUUUACUCUUUUCUGUAGUACACACAUUUUCAGAGUACAUGUGAAAACAUUUUUCUGAUACACAUUACGCAUUUUUCAAAUACAUGAUGUAUAUAUUACUUUUAUGACGUCACAACCACCUUCCUAGUCGAUGGGAAGGUCUCCUAUUACUGAAUGCUCAUCGCCGGAAUGCCUGAAAUAAAUUCAAGAAAAUGCAAGUAUCAAUGUCAAGUUUAGGACUUGAACUCUGGUGGGUUGGGAUACUAUUCUCCUCCUAACCAUUCAAUCACAAUUUGGUUCGCUGAUGUGCAUUUUAUUGUAAGAUACAUGUUUUGAACAAUUUUUGGAAAUACGUUAACAUUCUCCAAUUAUACAUUGUAUAUUGUUUAGUGCCAACAACAUUUUCUUAAACUAUAUAUUUUUCAUCUACACGAACAUUUAUUUACAUUGUAUAUAUCAUUUUUUAAAUGUCAUGAGCACGUUUUGAAACACAGGAAUAAUUUUUGAAACAUUUUCUACUGGUAUGAAACUUUUUUAAAAUUAUCGCUACAUUUUUUAACAUCACAUACAUGCUUUUUAAAAUUUUCAGAUACAUAUUUUUAAAAUCCUCUAACAAAUUUUAUUCAAUGUUAAAAAAAUUCAUAUACAUGUUUCUAAAUUCUUAAGUAAACUUAAGUUUGUGAAAUAUAUGCAUUUAAUUUAUAAAUAAAUGUAAAAAUAGGAAAAAAGAUUUUGAGUAAUAUGACGAGCCACCUCCUACUGGGAGCGCCUAUUCGGCGCCUUCAGCGCCGCUGAAGGCAUCUGGCGCCUGCGGUAGUGCCUGCUGGGCCGGCCCACAAACGCGCACGCACAAAAAAGCUGUAUUAUUACGCGAAAAGGCAUCCAAAAAGGUGGCUCCCUGAGAAUCGAACUCACACCCAGACGCAAGUCUUCGAGGUUGGCGAAUCGGUACACCCAAUGGCUGCUAGUAAUUCAUUUUAGCGUAUGUUGAUUUAAGAACCAACAUAGCAGCGCUACUUAUUGUACAGCCCCUCGCUUAGAUUUUGACUUAUUUGGAAACAUUAAUAAAAAACGUGAAUGUAUGGAAAAAUAUGAUGUUUUUUGGAAAGUUGACGAACAUGCAUAAAAAGUUGGCCAAUGUAAAAAAGGUUCAUAUAUUCAAAAAAGCUCAUGAAAUGGAAAAAAAUGCACUAAAUUUGAAAAAACAGUUCACAACAUUGAAAAAUGUCCAUGAGUUUGAAAACGUUCACGGAUUUGAAAAAGUUCAUCGAAUUUGAAAAAGAGUUAACUAAAUUUUAAAACGUCCAUCGAAUUAUAAAAAUUUCAUCAACUUUUCAAAAAGUUCAUCGGAUUUGAAAAAUAGUUCAUCAAAUUUGAAAAUAAGUUCAUCGAUUUUUUUAAAAAAUUGUCGGAUUUGAAAAAGUUCAUCGAAUUUGAAAAAAAGUUGUUCAAUUUAAGAAAAAAGGUUCACAAAUUUUAAAAAAGCGCGCAUUGAAGAAAACAAAAAGAAUUAACAGAAAAGGAUAAGAAAAAUAGUAAAAGAAAAAUGAAAAAAACGAAUGGCACUAAAGAAGAAGUGAAAAAGAGUACAACAGAUCAACAUGUGUAGCGUAGCCUGGUGGUUCCUACGAAGAGUUCCUCUCUGUUAGGUUGUCGGUUCGAGUCCCCGUUGCAGCAUAUUUUUUGCGAGUCUAAAAUACUAGAUGGGCCGGCCCAGCGCAUUAACGGGCGCCUGCAGCGCCAAAUAGGAAACGCCCCUCCUACUAGGCCAGCCAACCACCGGCGUCUGCCUCGCAAUAAGCGGCCCAUAGUCCAUUGGAGUUGGAGCGACCGCUCCCGUUAGGCCACUGCGCCCAGGCCGGUGGGAGCGGGAGCUCCUAUAGGACGCUCUUUGCGUCAAAUUGUCGUCCCGACGCACAGGGAGGCAUCGUGGCUGGGCCGGCCCAUAGAGAUGUAUCGCUGGAACGAAAAGAAAGCAAAAAACAGAAUCAGGCGCGAUGGAAGGAAUCGAACCAGCAACCAUCAGCUUGCACAUGCAUCGUCCCAACCACCCGAGCUGUCUACCAUUCGUUGUACCAAACCAACGCGCAACUUAAAUAACCGAGCACAACCGACCAACCAGACUUGUCUACUGUAUCAAACCGAAAUUAGUUACUCUACUGAAAAUCUUUAAAAAUGCACAUUUCUUCUGAAUUUUUAUAUUUUGAAAAAGUGCGAAGAUUUUUUAAAUAUCUGAAAAAAUUGUAGACAGGAACAUCUUUUCGCAUAUGCAAUUUUUUUUGAAAACUGCAGGAAAUGUUUUCGAAAAACAUGAAUCAUUUUUUGAAGCUGUAUACAAAUUAUGAAAUACCAAAACAUUUUGAAACUGCGAAUAUUUUUUGAAUUUUUGAACAAAUAUUUGAAAAUGCAACAUUUGAUGAAAUUACGAAAAUAUGAAACUGCGCACAUUUUUUGAUUUUGUAAACAAAUAUUUGAAAAUGUAACUUUAUGAAAUAUCUAACAAAAAAAUUUGAAACCACGAACAUUUUUUUGAUAUACCCAUACACUUUUUCAAAUGUGAACACUUUUUGAAUUUCGGACCAAAUUUUGCAACUGCGAACAUUUUUUACACUUCCAGAGGUAUAUUUGAAAUAAGAACAUUUUCUAAAUUUGUGAACAAAUUUUCAAAUACAUGAACUUUUUUGAAAUUCUGGUACAUUUGUUGAAUUGAGGAACAUAUUUUGUAAAGCAGAACAUAUUUAAAAAUCUGAAAAAGAAUUAAAAAAGACAAAUAUCAACAUGAAAAAUGAAAAAAAUGUGAAAAUAAAAAAUGAAACGAAAGAAAAAAGGAAAGUAAAAGACAGGAACAUUUUUUCGUAUAUGCGAACAAAAAUUUGAAACUGCGGAAAAUUAUUUUGAAAAACCUGAACCAUUUUUGAAGUUGUGAGUAAAUUAUGAAAUUCUGAACAAAAUUUGAAACCGUGAACAUUUUUUGAAUUUUUGAACAAAUAUUUGAAAAUGCAACAUUUGAUGAAAUUACAAAAUUAUGAAACCAUAAACAUUUUUUGAAUUUGUGAACAAAUAUUUGAAAGUGAAACUUCAUGAAAUAUCUAACAAGAAAUUUGAAACCAGGAACAUGUUUUGAAAUUCCUGAACACUUUUUCAAAUGUGAACAUUUUUUGAAUUUUAGACCAAAUUUUGCAACCGCGAACAUUUUUUACUAUGCCAGAAGUAUUUAUGAAAUAUGAACAUUUUCUAAAUUUAUGAACAAAUUUCAAAUACAUGAACAUUUUUUGAAAUUUUUGUAAUUUUUUGAAUUUAUGAUCAUAUUUAAUAAAGUGGAGCAUAUUUUAAAAUCUGAAAAACUUGAAUUAAAAAAGACAAAAUAUCAACAUCAAAAAGGAAAAAAAAGGCGAAAAUAGAAAAUGAAAUGAGAAAGAAAAAGGAAACAGCAAAAUGAAAAGAGAAAAGAAACAAGCAAAAAUAAACAGAAACACUAAAAAGAAAAACCAAAAACCAAAAAGAAACAGGAAAACCGGUUCAAAGAACCUUCUAGAAGGUCCCAAAACCAGGAAAACCGGCUGGGAAGCUCUAGAAGGUUCCCAAAACCGAAAGUGCUGCAACCCUGUUAGUGGGCCGGCCCAGGUCAUCCAUCGAUCGGUAAGUCUCUGUGUGAAAGGUCGACAUUUAGACGCAACAUGCGUCCAAUAGGGAAUUCCGGUGGGAGCUACUAGUUAACGAGCGCUCUUUUUGGGGCCUUACAACGAUCAGCACCACUUGGCACGCUCUUAGCCAUUCGUCACGUGUCGCGCUCUGGGAGCGCCCUUUGAAUUUUUUUUAUUUUCCGCACGCAUUUUCGGCUAUUGAAAUGGUUUUUUUUUCCUGGUUGUUUUCGAUGUUUUGGUUUUCCUUAGCUUUUCGACAAAAAAAAAUAAAAAAAAAUAUUUUUGCACGAAAAAUGCAUUUUUUCCUUUCGCGAGAGUCAUGGUUUUGCUUUCGCGGGAGUCACGACCGUGUCUCUCGAAAGCGGGGAAAAACGUGUUUUCUGUUUUUUUUCCCUUUCGCGAGAGUCACGGCCGUGCCUCUCGGAAACAAAAAAAACACGUUCUCUGUCUUUUUUUUCCUUUUGCGAGUCACGGGUUUGCUUCCGCAAGAGUCACGGUCGUGCCUCUCGGGAACGAACAAAAAACGCAUUUUUUUCCUUUCACGAGAGUCACGGUUUUGCUCCCGCGAGAGGCACGGGUGUGCUUUCGCGAGAGUCACGGCCGUGCCUCCUCGGAAACGAAAAAUGCAUGUUUUUUCUUUUUUUUCUUCUUCCGCGAGAGUCAUGGUUUUGCUUCCACGAGAGGCACAGGCAUGCCUCCUCCGGAAAGGAAAAAAACCAAUGCUUCCGGUUCGGUCUUUUCGUCCAGGUUUUUUCAUGAAAAAAAAAGUACGUCAAAACCUAUCAACAUGGGAUUCAGUUUUGAAGAUUUUGACGCGAGGAAUCCAACGGUAAAAGUGGGGUAAAAGUGGUUUGGGAUUUGAACGCAAAGUUUGAAAGAUAAAACAUUUUGAAUAAAUGGAUCCGCUACAUGUGCGCCACUUAUCGCAACCUGGAGAGUUGGAGUGAUCUUUGCAACGAGUACUCCUCAACUCGUAAUUUUGCAGAUAGGUUCCAAGUAAGUUCGUCUGCUAUCCUGUUUUUUCCUUUCUUCGUUUCUUCUUUUAGUUUCAUUUUCAAUUUUUUUUACGGAACACUGUGAGACAAAAGCCCCACUUCCAAACAAUUUUUUUUAAAAUGUUGGAAUCAUUAAUUUGUAAAUUAUAAUUAAUACAAUGUUAAACAAUUGUUAGCUUAAUUCAACGAAAAUGUUGAUAGCAUAUUAAAACAACAUUGGUGACCUUUCUAAGAAGUUCACUUGUUUCAAAUAAUGUCUGCUACUUAUGAAAUUUUUUAAUCAAAUAGUUAAAAAAUAUUACAAAAAUAUAAAAUAAAUAUUUCAAAAAUAUGUGAUUCUUUUUAUAGCAGACACAAAAAAUGUUUCAGCCAUUGAAAUAAUGUUUACGCAUUUAAAAAAAUGUAUGUGACAUUACAAAAAAUGUUAAGCAUGUAUUCGGAAAUGUUAAACGUAUAUUAAACAAAUGAGAACUGUAAUAUAGCAAUGGAGGAUGGUCUUUGCAAAGACAACCACAUCAGCCAUAGACAGAAAAUUUAAAUGAUUGUUUACAACUUAUCUCUUGAUUCUUUACAACUCAGCUGCAAGCUUACCUAUUUAAUCGAAGGAAAAACACUACCUAAAGCUCUCAAGCAUUAUAGUGCAUCAAUCAACGGCAAUAUAAAGACAUGGGAUUUUGUGGAGGACAAGCAUAUAAUUUUGAUGUCAUCUCAUAACCUAACAAAUAUCAACUAAAAAGUAUAGAGUUAAGAAGCACAUUCAUAUCUCAAUGCAAAGUGGAAUUCAGAACCCUACAAACCAUGGAAGCAAAGCAAUGUAUGCAGAAAUUGUUAAAUAUGCAUAUAGAUUUAGUGAUCUGUUCUCGGGACAGUAAAACACCAUAGUUAAUAAUUCAUGUCGUCCAGUAGUUGUAAGUUUUGGUACAAAGGUCAGCAGUACAAGCUUGAUAUAGUUGCGAAGAUAUAUUUUUACAACUCUCAGAAAUAGAUGCCAUCUAGAAGAUAUAUUCUUGCAACUAAAAAUAGCUAACUCUGGUUUGCAUAAAGCAUAGCCUGUAAUGUAACACCCUAGAUUGUAACAUCAAUCUAGGCAGAUUGGGAACCACACUAAAGAGAUGUAAAUAUUCUCACCAUUUUCUAGCAUAAAUCAAGGUACAACAACAUAGCUUUAGAUACAUGUAAUGUAAAUCCUUAUUGGUGCAAACCUGAGGAGGCAUAUGGUUUUAAACAGCCAUAGUAAAGCACACAAAACAGAGGUAAAUAUUCUAACCAUUUUCUAGCAUAAAUCAUGAUAGAAAAACAUAGCUUUAGACACAUGUAAACCCUUGAUUGGUACAAAUCUGAGGAGUCUUGGUUUUAACCAGCCAUAGUAUUUGGACUAGAUGAUAGGCCGUGUAUACAAAAUGUACAACUGUAUUAUUCAGUUUUGAGAUCAUUUGUCCCUUCAACUGAAAGAAUCUGUCAAUAGGGCAUUAUAAGAAAUACAAGACAGACUAGUAAAGCAUGGAUUACUUUCACAAAUUUAAUCCCUUCAAACAAAGAUAUUGCAGAAGAAUGGAUAUUUCAUCAAAACUGCAUCCUCAGAUUGAUCAACAUAUUAUGAACAUUGACAGGUCCAGAAUAGUCCCCNNNNNNNNNNNNNNNNNNNNNNNNNNNNNNNNNNNNNNNNNNNNNNNNNNNNNNNNNNNNNNNNNNNNNNNNNNNNNNNNNNNNNNNNNNNNNNNNNNNNNNNNNNNNNNNNNNNNNNNNNNNNNNNNNNNNNNNNNNNNNNNNNNNNNNNNNNNNNNNNNNNNNNNNNNNNNNNNNNNNNNNNNNNNNNNNNNNNNNNNNNNNNNNNNNNNNNNNNNNNNACUGUCGUUCAAAGGAAAUUUAUGGUGACAUGGACAUAUUAGUACUCAUGAAUCUAAUUAUUAGCUUCAUCAAGCGAUAGCAACAAACAUAUACUGCAGCAAAGAAGAACAUCUAGUUAGGCAACCACACUGAAACAAAGUUUGCCAGCUUACUGCGCCAACCAAAAUCUUUGUGGUGCAGUAAAGAUUUUAGAAUUUUAAUUUCAUUAAGAACCUUUACAACACAAAACUGGGAUUUCAACCGGCCCUCCAGGCUAUAAUGAAGCAUUGCCAGGCGAUAAGCAAUGUAAGCCAGCACAGAAUUUUUAAUGCAUUGGAGAAUGGCCUGUUCUCACACUUUCCUAGUUUCAAUAUAUGUGUUAAAUAACAGCACCAGGAUGAACAAGUUCAUAACAAGGCAACAAGCCAUGAUUUCUUCUCUACCAGAUGAUACACUAAGAUUCAGGAUUCAAAUCAUCAGUUUAACCAACAGCUAGCAACGACCAUGACCGCAUCUAACAGAGUGGAAGACCAACAUCCAAUUAGGCAAAGUACACCGAAAUAGGAAUUACCAGCUUACCACACAAUGAAAACUUUGUUGCACAGUACAGAGUUUACCAAAUUCAUAGACCAUUCUUGGUUCAUGUAAACCUGAAUCUAGUUGGCACUUCCCCUUUGCAAGCAGCUGCAUAGUCUUCAGCAAGGUGUGGUGCAGCUUCCUUGUAAGGGCAUAUGAACUUGUCCAAGAAUUCCAUCUCGGUGGCCUUGACAAAUGUAUAGUAGCACAUGGCACGCUUGAGCAAUCUGUUUUCCGUAAGAAACUUCAUAACAUAGUACCGGGGCCUGAGCCGGCCCUCCAAGCUAUAAUUGAGCAAUGAUGGGCGGCGGGCAAUGUACGCCGGCUCCAACCCCACCUCAGAGAUAAGGAAUUCAGACCUGCGCUUCAGCAUGUCCUUUGACGUCACGAGCACAGAUGGACCCUUGGACACAGCAAUGCCAACCUCCGCAUCCGACCACCUAACCGUCUUCUUCAAGUAGUCCAUUCUGGUGGCGAUCUUCUCCUUGCUGAGGAAUGCAACAGACUGCAGAGCGCGCCUGAACAUUCCGGAGCCACGGGGCACACCUAUACCUUCGGCGCACGCAACCAUCUCCAGGACACGCGCUGGUUUGGCAUAAAGUAUCCUCGGCACACGGAUGAAGAGCUUGGCAAUAUCACAAGCACCCAGCCCGCACUCUGCUAGGAGAUUGACAUUGGGCUUGACCACCCUCUCGAGGUCAGAGCCGAGGAUGGAGGAGCCUUGCUUGAGCGGCUGGAGCAGGUUUUCGAUGGAGCCGCAGAGCGGCAGGUAGUACUCUAUCUUGGAGACGACGGAUCUGAGGCGGAAGUGGGCGGGGGCGAACGAGACGAGGCGCGCAAUCUCAGCUUGUGACAGGCCGAGGCCGGUGAGCCCAGCGAGGACGGGGGACAGCGUUUUCUCCACGGCGGCGCAGAGGAUCUUCGGGUCCCUGGCGACGACGGCCGCGACAUCAGCGCCGGAGAGGCCGAGGCCGGCGAGGAAGGCGAGGACCGCGUCGGGCUUGGCGGGGGACUUGAGGUGGGAGAGCGUGGCGGAGACCUUGAGUGCCUGGGCACGGGUGAGGCCGCAGGUGUCGACGAGGUAGUCGCCGACGGCGAAGCUAGGGUUCGGGGAAACGGCGGAGAGGAGGCGGUCGAGAGAGAGGAGUGGGGAUGUAGAAGGAGAGGGCGUGGCUGAGAGGAGGUGGGGGAGUAUGCGGUUCCGGAGGUGGAGCAUGACGCCGCGACGGCGGGGCAGCGGCGGCGGUGGGGAAUUCCGGUGGCAAGUGCGCCGGUGGUGGACGGGGAUUCUCAAAUGAAGUGAGCCAAAGGUUGCCCUGAACCCCUGAACAGGCAGCGGUCCACCAGAACCCAAAUAGUACAUAACUUGAUAUACGUAUUAUUCAUAACAAAAUCCCGUUUUUCUUGCCUAAAAACCAAGGGGGAAGUUUCAUUUGUUAUAUAGGAGUAUUAUUAGAAGAGAGUUCUCCGGUUAAUAAGGAAACCCGACGGGAACUACUGUCCGGGCGCAAUAGCAAGGUUAGUCUGAAGUCGGACGCACGUCAUAACAAGUGACAAAUGUUGACACCAGCACAACCUUAUCGCCAUUGCCCCUCGAUGAUGGCGAAUCAACGUUAUAUUUGUGGGGUCAGCUGGCCCACAACUAUUGUUUUGCUAAUCCAUCACAUAUACACAUGUGAUGUAUCUAUAUAAAAAUAAAAUCAAAAAUCAUGUAAAAUCUAUGACAAUCACCUCUUUGAUGCCACAGAUUUAUCGCCGUGGCGCCUCCACCGCCCUCAAUGACACUUUAUUAUAUCUAUAGCCAACAAUGCAAAGAAACCAUAGAAGUGGCACCAAACCGCCGAUGAAAUGUGACAUAAAACGAAAAGGAAGCUCCGAGUUUAGUAGUAGAACAAGAACCAUCACUCAACACAAUCAUUGUUGACAUACAAGCACGAGGAGGAGAUCCGGAUGCUUCGCCCCAGCAAACCUACACGAUGCAUCUGCAUUGACCUAUGUAUGGCAUAGUCGAGGGGCCCACGGGGCACGCCAAUGUAGAUGCGCAGCCACAAGGAUUGCCCUUUACAUUUCUCAUCUGACGGAUUAAAUGUUUGCUUGGAAUUUGUAAAAUGGUACAUUAUAUAUAUUUGAAAUAGGGGAAACAGGCAUAGUGGUACAAAAAAGAACAUAUUAAUUUGCACAGUAGAUCUUUUCAGCUAGAAGGUUUCCUCAUACAAAGCCCCAUAUAUGUCGUCCAUCAUCGAAUUCAAAUACAAACAUGAAUGCAAAAAGAAACACGUUAUCUGCAUACUCUAAACUUCAAAUACAACUUUGAAUUUUUUUUAUGCUAGAAGUGCAAAUUCUUUUCUCCCCUUUUAGAGACACCAAUAACCAGAUGAUGUUCACCCACGUUAUCUGUCGCGCUCGCUCUCUAUCCACCCAUCGUUGCUCAAGAGCAUGGCCACCCCCUUGAGCCUCACGUACAACACAACGAAAAAUACGGCGGCCCUAAGCAAGGUGAAACUCUCCAUUCAUGAACGUUUUCCUCAGGUUCUAAGCCCUUGGUUUCGACUCCGAAUUUGCGUGGACUCGAUGCUAUGUCUGAGAUUAUCGCGGUAUGCACUUGAGGACAGUGCUGAGGAGGUAGAGAGGCAAACAUGGAUCCAUUUUGUACACGAUAAACUUCCUCAGUUUUUUCUUUAAUUCUCUGUGCACCUUCACCAUGGUGCUAGUUUUUAAUCUGAUAUGCACUGUUCUAUUCCGUUGGUCCCUCUGCAGUCACCUCAAAUUUAGGCUACCUUCCGUCUUAUAGGAAACCGAUGGAGUCGAGCUAUCUGUACGGCCACUCCAUUUGCGGCGGAUGAGGUGCUUACACAUGCCUCCCAUUCACAACAGAUUGCACUGCUUUAAGCCAUUGUAAUUUUCAUCUCUCUCUCUCUCCCUCUGACCAUGUUCAUGUUUGUUUGGCUGCUAUCACAAUCCUGCCAACAUACUAGGUAAGGGGAUAGAUGACCAAGGCUACAUACAUACAUAUUUGCUAAGGCGUGUCAUGCUUACAUGAGGGAAGGUUGGUGAGCUUAUUAGUUGGUGUAGAAGACUAUAGGAUGCAACUCAUUGUAUUCAUCGGAGUCUGUUACAAUAUAUACAGGUGAUGUCUUGCUUGACAAGCCAACUAACCGUACAAUAUCUCUAGUAAUUAAUCUAUACAAGGCUAGAGAUCAUUGGAAGAGCAAUCAGACAUAAGUACAAAUAUGUCACGUUCAACACCCCCGCAGUCGAAGCGCCGGCAUCGGCGAUGCAAAGAUUGGAGUGAAACUCCUGAACUGCAGCGGUUGGCAACCCCUUGGUCAUAAUGUUGGCGAACUGUUGGGUAGUCGGUACGUGAAGGACAUGGAGCUGAUCCAAUUGAACUUUCUCGCGCACAAAGUGAACAUCCAGUUCAAUGUGUUUGGUGCGCUUGUAUUGCACCUGAUUGGCCGCAAGAUAGGUGGCCAAACACAUUAUCACAAAAGAUCAUUGUAGGCUUCGGAAGUAAAACCAGAAGUUCACCAAGCAGGUGACACAACCAACAAGUCUCGGCAACGACGUUGGCAACAACACAAUACUCAACCUCGACACUCGGGCGGGAGACGGUAGGUUGCCGCUUAGAGGACCACGAGACAAGGGAGUCAUAGAAGAAGACACAGUUUCCAAACAUGGAUCACCGGGUGUCAGGACAACCAACCCAAUUCGCAUCCGUGUAAGCAAGAAGCUCGGUGGAGGCGAAGGCGCGGAGACAAAGAGCAUAGGUCGGCCUGCCGAGAAUGUACCAUAGAAUGCGCUUGACCAGAGACUAGUGAGCAUCACACGGCGAGUGCAUGUGCACGCAAACUAGCUGCAUCGCAAACUGAAUGUCUGGUCUGGUGAGCGUGAAGUACUGAAGUGCAUCAACAAUAUUGCGGUAGAGAGCGGCGUCGGUGGCAGGCUGUCUAGCUGUGGCAGAGAGCUUCGGCUUGACCUCAGGAGGCGUGGUGGCCGGCUUGCAGCCGGUCAUGCUAGCACGGUCCAACAGGUCAAGAGCAUAUUGCCCUUGAUGGGGGAAGAACCCAGAGGCAUCGCAUCGCACAUUAUGCCGACGAAGAAAUCCUAAAUUUUAAGAAAUAUUUAUACAAUGUAAAACAUCCGUUUGCUUAAUUCAACAAUUCAUGAACGUGAAUUUUUAAAAAGUUCAUGAUUUCAAAAGCAAUUCAUGAAUUUGAGAAAUGUUAACAAAUUCAAGAAAAAGUUCAUAAUUUCUUAUACAAAGUUCAUUGGGUUUGAAUAAGGUCAAAUUUUGAAAAAAGUUGCGAUUUUUUGGGGAAAAAGUGUUAUAAACAUCAUAUAGGUAAGAAAGUUCAAGAAUUCGUAAAAAGAUCAAAAUUUGGAAAAAGGUCACGAUUUUGAUAAAACAUUCAGGAAUUUGAGAAAAGUUGAUGGAUUAAAAAAAUUUCUUGAAUUCAAAAAAUGUUCUUGAAGUUGGUAAAAUUUCUCCAAUUUAGAAAGAAAAGAAAAGAAGGAAACUGAAAAAUUUGGUAAUAAAUAAACCCGAAAACCAGCCCAGAAACCAAAAGAUUCCCAAAACCGAUAGUGGGAUCAUGUUACGGGCUGGCCCAUUUAGCUACCAAUGGAACAUAAGUGGGCGCCAAUUAGGAGAAUACACUAUAACUAGCGCAGUGGGAGCCAAUUAGUGAAAUCACUAGUUAAAGAGUAUCCCUUGCAAAGGUCACUCCCAUCUUUUCGGGUUGCGAGAAGUGGCGUAAUGUAGGUGCGCCAUUUGUCACAAACCGUGUGUUUCCUUUUUUUAGAUUCGCUUAUCCAAAAUGUUUUAUCUCUUAAACCGUGCGUCUAAAUCCUGAACCGUUUUUGUCGUUGGAUUUCUGGUGUCCAGAUCUUCGAAACUAGAUCAUAUGUUAAUAGGUUUUGAUGAACUUUUUUUUCACAAAAAACCCCGGAAAAUUGGAAAAAUAAGCUCGAGCCGGAAGAAUGGUUCCCCCCCACUUUUUUCCCCUUUUCGAAGAGGCACAACUGUGCCUCUAGCGGAAACACACCUGUGCCCUCACAGUAGAAAAGAGAAAACAAAACACGACCUUUUCUUUUUUGAGUCUCCCGCGAGAAUAAAACCUCUGCCUCCACGACAAGCAAAUCUAUGCCUCUCGCGGAAGCACAAAAAAAGAAAACACAAUUUUUUUUCUUUUCUGACAGGCACUCGCGGAAGCAAAUUCUGUGCCUCCACGAGAAGCAAAUACGUGCCCCCCUUGGAAGAAACAAAAAAAAAAUACAUGUUCCCUCUUUUUUGAGAGGAAAACCUAUGCCUCUUGCCGAAAUAAAUCUGUGCAUCCACGAGAAACAAAUAUGUGUCUCUCACGAAAAACAUGUUUUUUAGUGCAAUGCAAUUUCUAGAUCGCCAAGAUGUGCCUAGGGAACUAGGCUGGACAUUUCCAAACCAGCUCGAACCAACAGAGUCUACGCCGCCUAACCCUAAAAAACAGAGUUUAGGCCCUGGCCUGAACAACACGAUUUAGGCCUAGUCGACACUCACCCGACCACCACAAAAGUCAAGCGGGUCUCUUCCCUUCCUCAACCUGUCGCAGUAUCUCUUGGCCCUCUCCUCUCGCUCUCCCAACCCCCUCCUAGCUAGGGUUUUACUUUUCCCUCCGCCAAGGUUUUACCCAUGAGCGACCCACCAUGAUGGUCGCCGAGCUGUAGGCGGAGCUGCUCUGUGCCUAGCUUGAGGAGCACAAGAUCAAGGUGAUCCUCCAUUCCACCCCUAGUCGCCAUCAUUUCCCAUCUCAUCUUCAUAGCCACCACCACCAUCACCGUAUCCAUCCAUCUCCAAGUUAGUCAUACUUGUAACCGACAUAUCGCAACCGACAACUAUUGUAAAGACAUAUUAUCUAUCAAUCAUUCAUCUUUAUGUCAUCUUCAAUAACUUCAUCUUGCGAUCCGAUCACCAUGUGUGAGGAAUUCAGUAAGGCAAUGGGUUUAGGCACGGCCUUGUAACCCGAUGUAUUUGUGCCAAGGAUCGUGGGAAUGACUUCAUAUGAUUGACGUUAUUUGUAUGUGUCCGAUUGCUAUGGAACUGUCUCUUGUCUUGUUCUCAUUCUAAGGCCCCACAGGUACCCAAGACCCUGUAGAUUGAUCAAGGAGAAGGUAAAGAGCGAGGAGUGCGUGGAACACUAUCCUGAAUAGAAGUGAGAAAAGGGGUUAGUACGAUAGAGGAAAUCUAUUCCUUGGGGAUGAAUGAGGUGUAGCCAUUAAACUCCCAAUGCUUUUAUCUGAAUGUUUAUUCCUAAUGCAGCAAUAAGGGCCAUCGGUUGGACAAUUGACUCUUGAUGCAUGUCGUGCACUAGUCAAGACAUACUUUGGACACACCCCCGCAUCUUAAUUAUAUUAAACCAUGCUCUGGAAGAAAACAUCUAGUGUGCUUCCAACGUGAAGUCUGAAUAUUUAUUCCUAAUGCAGCAAUAAGGGCCAUCGGUUGGAUAACUGACUCUUGAUGCAUGCGCGCACCGGUCAAGACAUACUUUGGACACCCCCCCGCAUCUUCACGUCGGAAGCACACUAGAUGUUUUCUUCCAGAGCAUGGUUUAAUAUCAUUAAGAUCCCAAGCACAAAUAUAGGUUGUGAGAGUAAGACCUCAUACCCAUGCCAUUUUUAAUACUAGUGUUUACAUCUAAAAGGUUUUUAGAGGUCUGAUUGAUAAACUGGAAUUUAAUUUGUUAGAAAUAACUUAUCAGAGUCUUUGACAUAGUGCACACCAUCUCGUGGGUUCGAUAACCCAGGGUCACUCCUUAGGGAAAAAGUAUGGGAACCUUAUGGAAUCCAUACUGGAUCUCAAAGGGCAUCAUGCAGUGCAGGGAGGCGCACGCUUCCUACAUGCGGAGACUACACGAGUGACUCUGUCAGACUUUGCUUUUUCGCUUCUGGCCCACUCACAUAUUUUUUCUUGAUGCCCGUUUGUCUUGCCUCCAGUGGCUCGGCGAGCUAGGCACUGUGACCCCCUCGUGACCAGUGAUGCGGAGGCCUUCGGUGAUGUAUAAUCCCCAAGUCCCCGGUCUCUCCCUUGGCCCUUUCGCUUGUGUAAUAUAAAAUCUAGGUCCUACCCUAGGUCCUCGUGAGGUAAGUGGGUUAUAGUUGAGCCAGUUGAGGAGGAAAAGAGGCAAAAUUGAUCUAGUUUUUACACCGUGAAAUUCCUCUUCGUACACCUUUUUAAGUUACUGUGUAGUUUCGCGAGAUAUGUACUGAUAUCUUAUCUCCUCAACGAGUACAUUACUAUUGUCCCUAACUCCCCUCCUCGCAAAUACGAGAAUAUUGUAUCCUUCUAUGCCCAUAUGUUUUUAUAGAGAUGGUGUGUUUCCAGAUGCACCCCAUUCAUAUUUCAUAGUGGAUUGCAUUGAUCCAACACAUCUUUAUUGCCACUCCACUAUCUCUCCCGGGAGCCUCGACCUUGUUUGUGUUUCUUUGGGUACUUGUACUAACCUGAUAAAAUAAUUGGAGGCUACAAGGAGAAAACAGAGAGUAGUGCAUCCUUUAUAAGGUCCAAUCAUGCUUACACUUAUGUAUGUUGGUAAGUGCAUUAGCUACCCAUCCAUUAUGAUUAGGACCAAGCCCUAGAGUAUGCUUGUAUCUGAACCUUUAUUUCUCUUUCUCAAAGAGGUUUGGCUACACAUGUGUGCUCUGUUUCAUUGUCCCCGCUCACCCUAGCCUCUACACUCAAUACUCAUUUACCAAGCUUUUGUGAGAUGGUGAAUUGGGAGCCAAUACUAAAAUACAAAACCACGUGGAAUGUUAUAUGAGUAAAAUACUGGAAUAUUCAGCGACAGCACCUCCCACUCCUUAGAGUCGCAGAUGGCAUCCAAGAUUCCAAAUGACAUGUCACCCUUAUUUCCAUUGAUAUAAUAGCCUAGUUCUUUGCACCCUAUGUUCUCACUUUUCAAACCCUGCUAGGUUGUAAAACUUAUCCCUAAACUAAAAUUAAUAUACUAGCUAGAACAAUAGAAAAUCUGAAAGAAAAAAGAAGUUCACGAGAAGAGACGACUGGGGACAAAGCCCUUGCCCUUGCCUAGCCCUCGCCACAUAACCCCCUCCAUAGGCCACCUUGGCCUAUGGCGACCACCAUCCUCGCCGCCUGCUAUUCCGACACCGAUAACCACAGCCUCCUGGGGCAGCCACUCCACUUCUCCUCACCCACCACGUAGCCAUGCCCCCCUUGGGUCGCAAAUUCAAUAUUGCCCAGUCUUUUGUGGACCGCAUCUAGCGCAAUAUCCAUCUCUCAAUCAACUAAUAUGAUGUAGAAGGACUCAUAUAAUUCUUCUGCAUCACAGAGUUUGGAAGAUAUAAUAUCAGACUCACCAAGGAAUCGAUUGGCGCAAUUCUCCCUGCAUUCUUUGGAGGUUAUUUUCCUUUGUUCAAUGUUUAACAACUACAAAAUUGGGCUUCUAAAUUCUUAGUUUCUUCAAAGGAAGUUGGUUUCACCAUAUACAACAAAGAUAGUAUUCACGAUCCCUGGAUUCAGCCUCGGAUUUUGGGUUUCGAGAAAUGAAGGUCCUAGUUGAAUUUGCGAAUAUACUUGACAUAUCCAAGAGCAAGAUCAAGAAUGGACUCUGGUUAGUCCUUUUCCCGCAAAAAAACCAUAUGGUGAACCUAUUAGAUCUCCUCGAUCAUAUCCGUCGGAUCAGAAUAUUAGAUCUCCUUCAUCCCCGGAUCAUGAUCCACCUAGAUUGCAAUCCAGAUUUGUCUUUGGUCGAAUUUCCUAUCCGAAUUGCAAUAAGAAAACUUUGGAACUGGCCAACCAGUGUUACAAUCCUUCAAAACAAACCACAUCAGUGUGAUGAUGUCUUUAUCAUCUUUGAGAAGCAUAGUAGAUCGGCUUGAACUUGAUAAAUUUAACUCUUAACAGGGAAUCUUGGCUGGUAGUAGGCUAGUAGUUGAUUUACCUUUUGAUAAAAAAGCCAUAGCCAAACUGGCUCAUUCUUUGUUUGACUUUUGGAAUCUCCUUCUCUAGGACAGAGCCAAAAGUACUAGGGUUUCACUGGUUAAAAUCAUAGCAAAGUUAUCUGAUAUUCUCGCCAUUCUAGUUAUUAGAGAGAGGUAUGGUUUUUAGUGACUCAUGGACCUGCCCUUUAGUCAUCAUGCAAGAAGAAAUGAUGGGUGGUGGUCCACCAGAUGAAGAUCCCAUCCCAAUUGAUGGAAAUCCUCGUCCAAGACUAGGUCAGGCUCAUUUUCAUAUCAAUCAAGAGAAUCAUAUGAUUGAAAUGCUACCUUUGGCUCAAGUUAAUGCACCUCAACAACAAGGAAUUGAUAAUGUCAAUGUAGCACACCAGAUCCAGCCAAUUUCAAAUAUACAAAAAGUGGAAGAGGCGAUGGAGAAACAGAGGAGGAUGAGCUGGGGACAUUGGGCUAUGCCUCCGAAUUAAAAUAUUAACCAAGAGCUACAUAAUAGUGAGUUCCUAUAGAUGAAUGAUCUUUUUGUACCAUUAGACAUCAACAUUGAUUAAUAGCCUGACCUGGAGGUACAAAGCAGUAUGACACUAUCUCUGGCUCUGACUGAAGCUAGCAAUGGAUUUAUUAAUUCCAUUGCUAGAGGUGGCCCACAAGAAACUAACACUUUUUCUGAGAGCUCCCAGAUCUUAACUUGGUCCUUCCUCCUCCUGAACAAUGCUUCCAAAUGGUUCACCUGCAACAUGAGAUUGAUACAAAAGAGAUACAUCAUGAAAAUUGCACAUGCCUCAACAACUGUUUCAACUAAUUGAAUCUCUCCAACAACUACUGGAAGAAUACUAGCUGAAUACUCAACAUGCCGUAGCACAUGGACUGGAUCUUAAUUCCCCUCCAUAACCAUCAUUUCAGCCAACUCUAACUCCUCUAGAUAGUGAGUCCCACUCUCAACAACCUGAACUUAAUGGAACUAAAGUGCCAACUUUUCCGUUUCAGCCAAUUAAACAAGUACACGCUAGUCCAACAGGGCCCUACAACUUGGAUUGAACAUUUAAAUUUGAAUAAUGCAAUUGAGGUGUCCCAGGAAGUCCAAGAAGCACAUAUGCUUGAUACUAUUUUUUUGCAAAAAUUCAGAACUGUACCACAAUUAGCACUUAACACAGCCAGACUGAUUUAGAUCUUAUUUUCAUGAAGAUAUUAGUCUCCUGGCCAUGGCGGAGGUCUUGAUGGGGAAAGUACAUGAUUCUUUUUUGGGAAAUAUCACUUUUCUCCCUCUUCUCCAUUUGAUAAGGUAAUUAAAGCACCAUUUGAAUGAGUAAACUUUCUCUUAGUUUGCCUCCUAUGAUCAUAAAGGCUUGACUAGGCGAAAAAUUCAUGGACAAUAAAAUAUGGGAAAUGAUAGUUGGAAUCAAGAAUACAACCUCUUCAAUGAUUUUGUUAAACUCAGUUCAUGGUCCUUUACAAUGAAGCCAUACUAUGAGUUUUAGUGUUUGUGUAAGGAGCAUAAUAAAGUUGAUAUACAACCCUUCUAUAACCCAUGGGGGAAGAAAACAAUGCUUGAAGGUCUCAUAACUGAGCAUGCUUCCUCCACCAGUACCAUUCAUGUUUACUGUAAAAGAAGGAACAAUCCCUAUCCCCCCCAAUUAAUACCGAGUUAAUAAGAAGUUCAAGAAUCCAAUCUCAAAAUAAAGGCUUCAGACAUAAGAGUUGUGUGGAUAGAAACUGCCUGCCUUGCUUAGUUGACCCCCUCCCCUACCAUGUAAUGUAGUUGAAAAGUUAACACUUGCUUUUGCAAGAUGCCCCCAAGGACACAACUGAAGAACAUGAAUCACAGGAAGCAAAUGAAGGUGUAAGAAUGAUGGGGGCUAGGACAAAAAGGGGGAGAACUGAAGACUACAUGAGGACUCAAGUUCUUGGGUUCAUAGUUGCGAUAAAAACUUAGUUUGUGUCUGUUCAUUUGUAUUAUCAUGGUUGUACUAACUCAAGACUCUUUAGUUCCUAUAUGAUUAUGUGAUUGAUUAUUCAGCCAUGCUAGUUAUCAAUAUGUGGACUAUAUCAAAUGUUUUACUCGAUAAUUUAUGGCAAAAUUUUAAGCUGGGCAAUGCAUGGGAAUUUUCUUGGACAACACUAUCUACUACAUGGUUGUUUAUGAGAAUGUAUGGAUUUCACUCGGUAUCAUGAAUACAAAAUGGAAAAUAUUAAUCUUCAAUAUUAGGGGAAUUAACUAUGACAACAGGUGGACUGCUAUAUCAAAUAAAAUUGAGGAAACGAUGCAUAAUUUUGUGUAUCAGGAAAUAAAGAGAAAACAUUUACCAAAGAUAAUUGAAAAUGCCCGCGGAGAUCGGAAAAUCUUGCCUUUAGUAGUGGCCUUAGGGGGUUGGUAAUUGGAUGGAAUGAUAGUAUUUUCAAGGGAGAAGAUUCUUCAAAAUGAUUUCUUUUUUAUCUAUUUCGUUCACUUCCAUUAACUUAGCAGAGCCUUCGAUCUUAAUAAAUGCUUAUGGACCCUUCCAAUCGAAAGAAAGAUAAGCAUUUAUGGAACCGUUCCAAAACAUUUAAUAGUUGGAUGAAAAAAGACUGGAUCAUUGCAACAUAAUUCAAGUUCAUCAGAUACCCUGAUAAUAAAAACAGAAAAGGGUAACAUUCAAGGCAUGAUGCACUUCAAUGCUACCAUUAAUCACCUAAGCAUUGUCGAAAUCCCUUCAGUGGGAACAAGCUAUAAUUGGAGCAAUAUGAAAGACAUACCUAUGUUUGAGCGUUUGGACUUGUGCUUUCUUCAUAAGCUUAGACUAUUGCUUACCCUAAUACCUGGGCUAUCACAUUGGCCAAAACCACCACUGAUCAUACUCCUAGUGUCAUCUAGAUAGUCACAUUCGUACCUAAUUUAAUGCUAUUCAGAUUUGAAAACUACUGGCUUCAACAUCUAGUAGACUGUCAAGAAUAUAUGGGAUCAACCUUCUAAUGAAGGGGACAAUGUCAAAAUUAUUAUGAUAAAAUUCAAAAGAUCGAGAAAAAGUAUCAAUUUGUGGGCCAAGACACUCUAAUAUCUUUGGAGCAAUUCGAAAUACUAUUAGCGUGAUCUUUUACUAUGACACCACUUAAGAAUAUAGGCCCGCCAGUACGGUGGGAGACAACAACAAAACUAUAUUAAAAGAGAACAUAUUUAAACUCUUGGGUCACUAGAGGAUCGAUUGGAAAGAAGUAGCUACUAUAAAGAUGGGUCUAGCUUGGGGAAGAAAAUAACAAAUUCUUCAAUGCAAAAACAACCAUCAAAUACAUACAUAAUCUCAUAUCAACUCUGAAAGAUGAGCAAUUGGUGAGGAGCACACUGAUCAUGAAGAAACGAUAGUUAUCCCAUGAAGAGCAUUUAAGAAGAGAUUAGUAACACAAGUAUAUUGCACUCUACCCAUUGCAUGAAAACCAUGCCGGAGAGUUAGGUUGAUCUCAUAAAUUUGGAGGUUCCCUUUACAACUGAAGAAACAGACAAGGUUAUUAAAGAGCUCCCCACCGACAAGGCACCAUGUCCAGAUGGGCUCAAUGAGGCAUCUACUAAAUCUUGCUACCACAUUAUUAAUUAAAUCAGUUUUGAUGAGGUUAAUUACAGAUAUACAUCAUGGCAGAGUCAAUCUUCAAAGCAUCAAUGCUUUCUUCAUAUGCAAGUGCCAUGUGUUAGUUGUAUCAGGAUAUAUUUAGUUGUAUCUCUGUCUCUAUGCGAGAUAUUUUCCCCACUUUAUUUUAAUACAAGCAUGGUUUGUUUGCAAAAGGGGAGGUAUCCUUUAGUGAAAAAAAUGUUUUUUUAGGGGAGGAGUUUUUUUUUGUGAAACUAGUUUUUUCUAAGCUUAUAAGUAAGCUUUAUUGAUCAUUGUCCACAUGAAGUGGUACACGAAAAUGAUCAAUGGGAUGGAUCAACCAAAGAUGAUGCCCCUGAUCAAGAGUGUUUGAAAACUUAUCUAACCUAUCCGCAUCAGUGUUUGAUGUGCGAUCUUCAUAAGUAAACUUGCAAUUAACUAAACUAGCUUGCUGCUUUAUCUCGCCAAUGAUACAACCAUAAGUACUAAUAGUUCCCCUCUCAAUGUCGUUCACGACCUGCUUUGAGUCGGAGACGAUUAUAUAAUUCUGAAUCAUCAAGUCUUCUGCAAGAGCCAAUGCUUCUCUACAUACCAUCACCUCGAGUGUAGCUACAUCAAUGACCCCCCCAGACAACGAUAAAGGAGCUGCCCAAAUACCGUCCACAGUCAUCUUGGCACACUGCAGAUGUUGUUCGUCUGAUCUCGUACUUUGCCACACUUGCAAAAACAUGGAUUUUUGCAAAACCUCGAGGUGGCUCCCUAGGCCUUGCCACUAUUCUUAUAAUCUUAGCUGGUGCCCUUAUUUCCUAUUGUGUUGUCAUCUCCAGUUCUACUAUAAAUCUUUUAAUGAACUCAUAUGUAGCCUAGGGGCUUCGAUAAACCUCUUCGUGUAUCCAUAAGGUGACUGAUAACUUAACAAAUGAAUCAUGUGAUAAAGAAUCAAUCAUGGCAAACAGCUACUGCUUGGCACUCGGUUCAAUUGUCUCGCAUAUAUAACUGCUCCGCCAAAUCACCAUCAACAAGUGAACAAACACACCUCACCAUAUUGCACCCGGGAAACGAGUGUCUCCAGGAGUUAGCCACGCCACAAAGAGCACAGGUGCUAGUAGUGGACAUUUUCCUAUGAGCUUGUACGUCUUCGGUUGGCAAUGAGUGACUCGCUAGUAUCCAAAGGAACAUACAUAUUUUUCCUGGUACGGGUGUUUCCAUAAUAGCUUCCACGAGGCCACAUCUCUAUCAGUACUAGAGGAACCAUCGAUCCAAGCUUCCCGCCCGUACUUUGUAGUGAUCAUCAUCUUGUACGCUGAUCUCACAGUGUAGUAGCCAGUGCCACACCGAGCUAUCUUGUACCUCACUUGUAUAGAUUGGGAUAUUAAGAAUAGAUGGGAUAUCAAUUGGUAAACACACCUCUGAUAGUCGCUCAGUGUCCCAUCUUGUGGCUGUAUGGUCAAUAAGAUCCGUGGCAAGCAAAGGUGGAUUGGUUACCCGACAUUCAUAUCGGCCCAACAUGACGUCCCUUGGAAUCCAAUUGUCUUACCAUAUAUGAGUUGAAGCUCCGUUGCCAAUUCUCCGAAUCAAUCCCCGCUUGAGUACGUCACGCCCUUCUACUACUGUCCUCCAAAUCUGGCUUGAAUGAUUACCCAAUUCUGCAUUCAAAAUCGAGCACGAAGGGAAAUGUACUGCCUUCAAAAUUCUUGCACCGAGUGAUUUUGGGUUUUGUAGAAUGCGCCAUGUUGUUUUUUUAGUAUACCACGUGUCAUUUAUUCAUGAGCAGAAUUACAAACCCACACGUAGCCACAAUCAAGAGACAUCCAGAACACACACAGUACAACACUUUGCAAGAAGAAACCUAUGAAAAAAUUGCAAAGAAACGCUUGGGGAUCCUAGAAGCAAAACAACCUGAUGUCGCCGCCAUAUGCCUUCGUCGCAAAAGCUUCGUCGGACAGAGGGGAGACACCAACUUGCCCAAGAUAGAAUUAGUGCCAUAAAAGACAAAGCUGCGUUGUGAGUCGAUGAAGCAAGCCGCCGUGCGGCCUGAGACCUUGUGGCUCGUCGAUCGGGAUCAUCCCCACACUCUUCUAUCCACGGCUUCGCUACACUCAUCCAACAAUAUUGGAGAGAAGAUCCGAAGCCGCUAUCCUACAGCCCCCUUUCUUGUGCCGAACCGGCCGUCUUCCAGAUCAGAUCGCCGUCGUCAUUCCCGAAAGAGAUAACACCAGCGACCCCGCUGCAUGGAAUGAGGCCUCCAAUCCCCACCACGGCGCGGGAGCAAGCACCAUCACAGCGACGGGAUCGAAGCACAUAGGGCCUCCACCGAGUUGCUGCCGCCACUGCACCAACCAGGCUUAACCACCUGCCCAACCAGAUCCAUUUCCGAUGACAAAGAGGAGCACCUCGAAGAGGAAUUUUUGUAAAUACCCUUGUGAAUCCAGAGGAAAUUUAUUCACCGCCGUCACAGCCACCACCGGAAAUUUAUUCACCGGCCCAAAUUGCACGGUCUAGGCCCAGUUUAAACCCACCAGAGGACACAAGUUAUUAGCCCCCAAAAAGAAAAACCAGAGGACACGAGUCAAGCUCAAGCGGGUCUCUUCCCUUCUUGGCCCUCUCCUCUCCCGCUCCCAACCACCUCCUAGCUAGACUAGGGUUUUACUUUCCCCUCCGACAAGCUUUUUCCGGCGCACCACCAUGACGGUCGCCGAGCUGCAGGCGGAGCUGCUCUGCGCCCAGCUCGAGGAGCAGAGCAUCGAGGUGAUCCCCCAUUCCGACCCCUCCCCCUCUCCGAUUUGGUGCCCUGUUUAACUGAAAAAUCAUCUCCUCGCAUUUCAAAGAUAGUAAUAAUAAAUCUUCGCCUCUCUUGCUCGUUCGCCCCUGGAUCGGCGUGUUCCGUUGCGGUCCUGGUGUUAUAUGCUGUUGGUUGUUGCAUUUUCUUAACUUGUCCACACAAUUCCAGGUUAUGUUUGUCCUCUCCAAGCCAGAUGUCUUCAAGAGCUCAAACUCAGAUACCUACGUCAUGUUCGGGGAGCCCAAGAUUGAGGACCUGAGCACUCAGCUGCGUUCACAAGCGGCGGAGCAGUUCAAGGCGCCGAGCCCAAGCGGCAUCAUCUUGAAGGGCGAGCCGUCCAUGGCAGCAGCCCAUGACGACGAGGAGGUUGAUGAGACUGGUGUUGACAAGAAGGACGUUGAGCUCGUGAUGACGCAGGCCUCCGUGCCGAGAUCCAGGGCUGUGAAGGCGCUCAAGGAUGCGGGCGGCGACAUCGUCAGCGCCAUCAUGGAGUUGACUAACUAGGUAGGUGCCCGUAGGUGGAAUUGUGUCCUGAUAAUAGGGUCUUGGAUAGCAAAGCAGUCUUUUGGUAUGCCAUCUUGAAUGUUGCAGUUGCGGGAUUGGAUGUUCUGUCUCUCUGUUGAAACUAGCACUGGGAUGUAGGUUUCGUUGGUGUUUUAAACAUCUGAUGAUCACAAACUGCUUGCUCUUUAUGGGAAAUAUCUGAUUCGACUGUGCCAAAUUUUGCUACAACUGCAUG